CUGAGAUGAAAUUACCCAAAAUGAAAUAUUGUUAUCAAACAUUCCAUGCUAUUAUAUACUCAAGAAACUUAAAAAUACCAUGUUGUUGUUCCAGUAAUUACCGCAUGAAACAUUGAAUCCAUGCUCUCGGAGUAGUCGGAAUCGAAGGGAUGUGGUGUAGAGGUCGUUCUCGGCAUCAUUGUUGUUAUGGUAGAUAUUCUCUAGUUCAUCUUCGAUCUCCUUGGUGAAAUGGUAACUCACACCCAGUCUUUGGACUGAAUCAAUGAAGGCUAACUUUUGGGUUGAAUUAGCCAUUGGUGCCACAAUCAUCUUCCUCACUUCUUCUUUCAAUUGUUGGUGGCGUUUUUGAGUUUCAGCAUCAAUAUUCUGCUCAAAAUAAUGAAAAUUUGCUUCAUAUUGAAUCACUAAAUAACUAAACAAAUAAUCUGUUAAGAUUAUAUAUAUACCAAUAUGGUGAUAUGUAUGUAUACCUUGUCGGGACAAUUGAGGAAGAAAUCUCCCCAAAUGCUAGGCUGAAAAUCGGCUUUGGGACGCAUUUCAUCCUUAUUGGAAGAAAGGGGUGAUGAAGAAGGCAUUUGAGAAACUUGUGAAGCCAUUUCGAUUGAUUAAAAGCAAAUAUUGAAAAGCUUAAUUUGCUGCCUUUUUUGGUUUGCUCUUGAAAUUUGGCACAGAAUCUGUGAGGAUAAGAGUGCAAUUGUUGCAUGUAUUUAUAGGUAAAAUAUACUGGGGAGUUUAAGUCAAAAAAGACAACCUAUAUGCAAGGAAACAAUUAUACAAUAAGAUUGGUGUAGGGCGGCCCAUUGCAUGAGAAUUGCAAAUAGAUUAAAAGAGAUGUUGAUUUGUCUUUUUGUUUGAUUCUCUUAUUCAAAGUUGAUGCCUGUAAAAUAUUAGAAGAUGAAAUGUGUAGAAAUGUGUUACAAAGUAAAUAUUUAUCCUCUGUUGAACUUUAGAAUUAUAGAAAUAUAUCAUUUCAGUCCUUCCCUCGGCCGGUCAGCCUCAAUUAAAAUAUAAAUUAAAUCAGUUGGACCAACUGAACUAAAUUAUUUAAUUAAAACAUAAUUAAAUGUUAAAUGUGAUUUCAUAUUAAAUAAGUCUAAAAAGUAGUAACUAGUUCCUUAAAAAAGAAGUAGUAAUUAGCUAAUAAAGAUAUGUAUUUUCUAUCUUGGGUAUGUACAAAAUUAGACAGACCACCAAUUUUCAAUUUAAUCAAUUAACCCAAUACUAUUUUCUUUUUAUAUAAAUAUAACUAUUUUUUAAAAUUAAUAAAAAUUAUAUAUAUUUAAAAUCGAUAAAAUUUUAUUAAUAAUAUAUUAAAUGCAAGAAACCUGUUUUCAAAUAAUAAAUAAUCUUUAACGAUCUUUUAAGUCCUAACCAUUGUUAAUCUUUAAGGCAUCUGAAAGUUAGAUCGGUGCAUGCAUUUGUUUCAGACGCAAAGACUUUUGUUUCUCAGUUCUUCCCACUAAUCUUUUUGAUUGAUUUUUAUAAUAGAGCACGUCAGGUUUCAUCAAGGACUAAGCAACGUCACUUGUUUACUAUUAUCCUAUUGACUAAUUGGCCAUGAACACAUAAACUAUGACGUAAUAUUUAUAAUAUUUAUAAUAUUUAUAAUAAUUUUUAAACCGAAAUAGCAUGUAAUUUUGAAAAUUAAUCAAGUCAAAUUAAAUAGUUCUAAUCCUACGAUUUAAGGCCAACAUAAAUGAUAAUUACAAUCCCACAAUUAAACUGAGUAAAGAGAAGUUAAUGUUUACUAUUAUAAUAGAGCAUGUCAGGUUUGAUCAAGGACUAGGCAACGUAACUUGUUUACUAUUAUACUAUUGACUAAUUUACCAUAAACACAUUAAACUAUGACGUAAUGUUCUCAAAUUAUGCAGAUUUUAAAUUCAAUUUUAAAUUUUAAAAAUAUUUUAAUUCAAUCCGCAAAGUAUUAGUAUCAUAUCAAUCAAGCCUUUCCAUUAGCUUAACAAUUAGUUUAGGCAUUAAAUGUCAACUCAAGCUUGAGUUAAAGUGUAUAUGAAAUACGUAGAUCAAAUUGUAAAGAUGUAUCUAUCUGUAACAUAGAUAAUAUUUUAUUGACAUUAAUUUUUUAAUACGUUAAAAUUUAUUGCAUAGAUACAAUGCUAAUAUUUUAAAGAUUUAAUUAACCUAUUUUGAAGUUUAGAACUAAUUAAGAAUAGGCAUAACCUUAAAUUUAGUUCUCAACAUUUACAUUCUUUUUUGUUAAUUUGACUUUUAUUUUUUUAGCUAAAAUUGAUCCUCACCCUUUUAAAAAAAAUCAUAUUUAACCUUAAACCUUUCAAAAAUAGUUGAAAUGCUAUUUUUUUAAUGAAAAUAAACCGUUAAAUUUUUAAACAUGGCAGCUCACAUACUAAUCCACAUGUACUCCAUAUUAUUAUUAUUAUUUAUUUUUUUUAUUUUUUUGUAAUUUUUAAAUUACUUGUUGGUGUGGCAUAUAAUAAAUAGAGUUAUGUCUACAUGAAGUACAUGUGGACUGUAACACAAGUUUCCAUGCCAACUUUGUUGAAAAAUUAAUGUUUUAGUUAGGAUUUUUGUUUAAACAAAUUUUUUGACUCUUUUUUAAAAGACUAAGGGCAAAUUUAGCUAAAAAGAAUAAGAAAAAGAGUUAAAUUGACAAAAUAUAUAAAUAUGGUGGCUAAAUUUGACAUUAUGCUAUAAGACUAUUGGCAAUAAAUUAGAGAUGACUGAUAGAAUUAAUCAAAAUAAUAUGGGCUUAUUAAGAAUUUUAACUUUAAAAAAAAUAAUUAAAUCCCUCGGAACCUCUUCUACUCAAUUGAAUCCUUGAAUUGACAAUUUUGACCAACAAAGCCCUUUGACCAACAUUGAUCGUUAGAAACUAACAGCAGCGCUAACGUGAUUGUCAACAGAUGCCACAUCAGACAACAAAGGCUAACUUGGCAGUGCCACAUUAGUAAAAAUAACAAAAAAGUAAAAAAAUAUUUUUAAUUUAUUUAAAAAUAUAUAUACAAUGAUGCUGGAUAAAUGAUUGUCCAAAUUCAUUUCAAUCUGAGCACUCAUUUAUUUAAGUUCCUUUGAAACUAGAGACACAUUUCUCAAGAUUCAUUUCGAAAUUAAUAAACAUAAAAAUUAUAAAAAAAUCAUUCAAAUUAUAAAAAAAAUUAUAAACUAAUUAAAAACUAUUGUAACACCACCAAUCAAGCGUAAAAGUUUCGACUAAGUCGAAGAAAUCACAUUUGAUCAUUUGAUGAUUGAAGUGACCGUUGAAACCACUAGUCUAUUUUGUAGGGAAGUUGUUCCUUUUGAUCUUAGGAAAUCAUUUAUUAUUUUUAAGCCGGUUUUAUUUAAAGAUUCAGUUUCGCUAUUAUUCUGGUGGUGUUUUGAAAGCGGCUGAUGUUUUUGGAAAAGGAAAUUAUAAAACCAUUGAAACAAACAGCGAAAAAUAUUUAUAAUAAUUUUCUAAAUCAAAAUAGCAUGUAAUUAUGAAAAUUAAUCAGUUGUAAAUAAAUGAUAAUUACAAUCCCACAAUUAAACUGAGUAAAGAGAAGUUAAUGUUUACUAUUAUAAUAAAGCAUGUCAGGUUUACCAUUCACUAAUUUACCAUAAACACUUUAAACUAUGACGUAAUGUUCUCAAAUUAUGCAUAUUUUAAAUUCAAUUCCAAAUUUUAAAAAUGUUUUAAUUCAGUCCUCAAAGUAUUAGUAUCAUAUCAAUCAAGUCUUUCUAUUAUGUUAACAAUUAGUUGAGGCAUUAAAUGCUAACUCAAGUUUGAGUUGAAGUGUAUUUGAAAUACGUAGAUCAAAUUGUAAAGACGUAUAUAUCUACAACAUAGAUAACAUUUUAUUGACAUCGAUUUUUAAAUACGUCAAAACUAAAUUUUUUAUGUGGUAGAUACACAUGAGUUUACAGUUUAUUCCGUUUGCUUUUAAGCAUGCCGCAUAUCAUAUCUUGAUUCACAUUUAACAAUUAGAUUAACUACGACAUUGAUAGAAAACCUAUUUGAUACAAUGUUGAUAUUUUAAAGAUUCAAUUAACAUGUUUUGAAGUUUUAAACUAAUUAAGAAUGGGCAUAACACAAAUUUAGUCCUUACAUUUACAAUUUUUUUUGUCAAUUUGAUCCCUUUUUUUUAGCUAAAUUUGGUCAUCAACCUUUCAAAAAAAUGUCAUAUUUAAAUUAAACCUUUCAAAAAUUGUUGAAUUGCUAUUUUUUAAUGAAAAUUAACCGUUAAAUUUUUAAACACGGUAGCUCACAUACCAAUCCACAUGUACUUCAUACUUUGUUUUUUGAAUUUUUAUAAUUUUUUUUUAUUUUUUAAUUUUUAAAUUAUAUUUUGGUGUGGCAUAUAAUAAAUAGUGUUAUGUCAAAAUGAAGUACACGUGGAUUGCCACAUGAGUUGCCAUGCCAUCUUCAUUAAAAAAAAUUUAAUGUUUUAGUCAGGAUUUUCUAUAAAAAAUAAUUUAACUCUUUUUUAAAAGAUUAAGGGCCAAAUUUAACUAAAAUAGAAACAAAAAAAACCAAAUUGAUGAAAGAUGUAAAUGUUGCGGUUAAAUUUGACAUUAUGAUAUUGGCAAUAGUUUAGAGACGAUUGAUAGAAUUAAUGGAUUGAAAAUAAUAUAGGCUUAUUAAGCAUUCAAACUUCUUUCAAAAAUCAAGUAAACCCCUCCAAAUCUUUUCUACUUAAUUGAAUCAUUGAAUUGAUAAUUUUGACCAACAAGGCCAUUUGACCAAUAUUGAUAGUUAGAAACUAACAGCAACUCUAAUAUGAUUGUUAACAAAUGCCACAUUAACCAACAAAUGCUAACUUGACAGUGCCACAUCAGUAAAAAUAAAAAAAUAAAAAAAAUAUUUUAAAAUUAUUUUUAAAAAAUGUACAAUGAUGCUGGACAAAAGAUUGUCCAUGCUCAUUUGAACAUGGACCCACAUUUUUCAAUAUUCAUUUCGAAAUUAUAAAAAAAAUAAAAAAUUAUAAAAUAUAAUUAAAAUUUAUAAAAUUAUUAUAAAAUUAUUAAAAUUAUUUUUUAAAAGUUUUUUUUAAAAUUAUUAAAAAUUAUUAAAACGUAUAAAAUUAAAAACCAAAUUAUAUUUAUAUAAAAGUUUUUUUUGUAAUUGUUUAUGUAUUAUUAAAACCAAAUGGAUUUUAAAUAAAAAUAUUUUUAGAAACUAUAAUAAUUUUAAUGUUUUUAAAUAAAAUCUUUAGAAACUUUUAAAAAAGUCCAAAUGGAUUUUUAAUUAAAAGCUUCUAUUCAACCUAAUGGACUUUAUAAAAAUUUAUAAUAAAAAGCUGUGUUUUAAUUUAUUUUAUAAAAUUUUAUGAUUUUUAAUUAAUUUAUAAUAAUUUUAUUAUUUUUUAUAAUUUUAAUUAUUCUUUAUAAUUUUUUUCUUUUUAUAAUUCCAUGAUGAAUAUGGACAUAUGAAUAUCUACAUUCAAAUGAACCUGGACAACUAUUUGUUUAAGUUUAUUGUGUACAUUUUUUUACAAUAAUUUUAAAAUAUUUUUAAUUUUUAUUGAUGCGGAUCACCCCAUCAGCAUUUGUUGAUUAAUGUGAUAUCCAUUAAUGACCACAUCAAUGUUGGUGUUGGUUUCUAAUGAUCAACGUUGGUAAAAAAAUCUCGUUGGUCGAAAUUGUCAGUUUAAAGACUCAAGUGGAUAUAAAAAGUUCAAAUGGAUUUAGUCGAUCAUUUAAAAAUAAUUCAAAAAUUUAUUGUACCAAUAAGCCAAUAAUAAUAGCUAAUAUAAAUGUAUAGAACUUGAGUUCAAUGGAUUUAUAUAUGAUGCAUUGACACUAUCAGUAAAUCAUAUAAUACUAUAAAAUUUAAAAAAAUUUCAUUUAAUUUUUAAUAAUAUAUUCACUAGGAACACGUAAAAUUAUUAUACCUUUCAAAAUUACUAUAUAUAUUUUUUAAAAUUGUAAGGAAGAACAUUUUUUUCAAAAUUACUUAAUUUCCAUAUUCAAAGUUAAGGCAAACCUAGCAAUCAAACAAGAUUCUUUUCAAGGAUUUCGUAUUAGAUAUUGCCGCCAAGCUUAAGAAAUUAUAUAUUUAUUCCUUUCCAAACAAAAGAAUUUAAACAAUUAUAUUCAUAUUUUAUAUUUAUGCGAAUUAAGUGUAAAUAUUCUAAAGGAGACGUACGAAGACCAAUGUUUAUCGAUAAUAAAUAUACAACAAAUAGAUUUUAUUAAAUUUCAUCUUGGAUCAGUCAAAAAAAAAAUAUGUAUAAUAUUCGUAUUUUUAUUUAGUUUCAAUGCACGUGUAAAGGAAUAAUUUAAUAAUAACAGCUUAAAAAGACUGGUAAGGAUAUUAUUAAUUAUAAAAAUCAUAAUCGAUUAUUUAUUGUUUUGAUUAAAUUAAUAAAAAUUGAAAGAUUAUAAAUAGAAUAAACAAUGUUAAUAUACUGUAUUCACUUGACUUUAGUGAAAGCAAUGUAUUAUUGUAAAAACUUCUUGUUAACUGCACAUCUAUAUAUUAUUUAUUAUGAAAUUAAAAAUUAUUUUUUUCCAAAGCAUUAUAGUUGUCUAUAACAUGCUAAAAUCAUUGCAACCUUUUAGCCUCUAUUGUUUUUUUUUAAGUCAAAAGGAUACAACCUUAAAAUAAAAAUAUAAAUGGAGGGCAUAUCGGUUUUUGAGUUGUUCUUUUGGUAAAUUAUAGGUAAAUCUUCGUUUUGAUCACUUAACUAAAAAAAUUAUAAUUUGAUCAUUGAAUCAUUAGAAAAUUUUUAUUUAAGUCAAUGAAGUAUUCAAAAAAUUUUAUUAAGUUACUACGCUAUUAUUUUUUUUAGAAGUUUCGCAAGAAAGCUCAAAGCAAUGAUUCGACAAUCGGUACACUGAAUCAAUAACUAUUGACGAGUAGAAGAACAUAUCUUAGAUACAAGUUGAUUUGAUGGUCAAUGUCGGAGAUUAGAGAAAAAAGCUUUUUGAAUUUUGAAUUGCAAAUUUAUGACGUUCAAAGCUAUUUCAUAAAAAAAUGAACUGUAGAAAAGAAAGGAAAGAGAGGUUUCAAUUGGUGCAGGCAGCGAGAUCUAUUCAUUGAUAAGAGAAAGAAAAAACGUGAGCGGUGAUUGGAUUGAUGAGAAAAUAGAAUCCUGGGUCGCGAACAGUGAUUCGAUUGAUGAUAAAGAAAGAGAAUUCUUGGUUCAAUUCUCCACCUUAACAGCAGAAAAAAGGAUUGAUCAAAUUCUAUUGAGUCUGACUCAUAGUGAUCAUUUAUCAAAGAAUGACUCUGGUUAUCAAAUGAUUGAACAACCUGGACCAAUUUACUUACGAUACUUAGUUGACAUUCAUAAAAAGUAUCUAAUGAAUUACGAGUUCAAUACAUCCUGUUUAGCCAUAUAACAUUGAUUUUAAUAGCUCACUGACUUAAAUGAAAACUUUUGAAUAGUUUAGUAAUCAAAUUGUAACUUUUUUAGUUAAGCGACUAAAAUGAAAACUUACUUAUAGUUUAGGGACUAAUGAUGUAAUUUAUCCUUUUAUUUUUUAUUGUUCGUCAUUUAAUGCCCUCGAUAGUCUAUCUGGUGCAUAUAGCCUUUUCGAUAUCAUAUAUAGUUUCUUUUUUUUUUAGAAAAUUUGGGACACCAAUGACAAAUUUGUUUAUUUAAGGGUAAAUUACACUUAUAGUAAUCCAACUAUAAAAAGUUACAAGAUGGUCACUUAAUUAUUUAGAUUUUUUUUCUUAGUCACCUGCUGUUAAAGGGCUAAUGGGAAGAUGACGUGACAACUUUUAAAAUUGGUUAAACAACUUUUAACCAUCAACAUUUAUAUAUUGGUUCAAUUUAGUUUUGAUUCUAACAAAUUUAACUCUCAACAUUUUCACAUUGUGUAAUAUGCUUUUUUUCCAAUUUUGCUUUUCGUUGUGACCCUUUCACCUAAAAAGCUAAAAAAAAAACAAUCUAUCAACUAAAUUUGAUCAGAAAUAUACAAAAAAUAGAAACACCAAAAAAUCCAAGAUAAUAAUAUGCAUCUUAUGUAAUUCUUUUAAAAUUAACCCUCAAUGUCACAAAUAAAAGUAAAACUGUAAAAAGAGAGAGAGAGAGAGAGAGAGACCAAAUUAUAUAAUGUGUAAAUGUUGAUAUUUUUUUUUGAAAUCAAGACUAAAUUAACACAAUGCAUAAAUGUUGAGCGUUAAAGUUGUUAUUAUGCCAAUUUUAAAAAUUGUCAAGUUAUCUUUUUAUUAGCAAAUUAAUGGUCGGAGACCAAAAAAGAAAAAUUCAUAUAGUUGUGUGACAAAAAAGAAAAAGGGUGAAUAGUUGGAUGGUCAUUUUUUGUAAAGUUCCAUAGUUGGGUGACUCAAAAAAUACUAAAAGUUGGAUGACUACUUUCAAUGCCAUUUUUAUGAACAAAGCUAGCUUGAGAAAUUUUGAGAAAAAUAUGAAAAAUUUAAAAUAUUAAAACAUUGGGUUUUUAUUUAGAACAUAAGAUUUGUCACAAAUCUUUUAACUAGGUGUGAUCAAGUACCUAUAAAAUCGCCUUUUAAAAAUAUAAUUAGUUGGUUUGUUAUUUGAAAAUCAAAGAAAAUUCGAGUUCAGGAAUCAAUUACAUGCGAUGAAGGUAUUAACACCUUCACAAUGCCCAAAAAAAAUAUCUUAUUAAUUAUGUGUUGAUUUUAAAUUCAAAAAUUACAAGUUCAAAUUCAGUAUUCAGUCAUCAUCUGUAAUAUUCUGUUUGUUAAUUAUAUGUUUGUCUGCAUGUUGUGUGCAUUUUUACAUUUGCAUAAAUAAUUUGGGGUUUUGGUUGUGAAGAGAAGAAAGUUUGAUUUGAUCAGUUUAUCUGUAAUAUUCUGUACAACAAUUUUACUGCAUUAUUAUAUAUAUGUCAGCUUAGUUGCAUAUUUUCUUUUGAGUGGCUUAUACCCACUAUCGUGGUGUGUAGGGUGGAUCGGCCUACCAUAGCCCAAUUGUGGUGUGCAGGGUGGUCGGAGUGGUGUUCCGGUUGGUUGGGUGGGUUUUAAUAUUUAUUGCUUUCUUUUAUUAUUAUUAUUUUUAACUUUGUUGAAAACCUUUAUAUGAAUAUGUUUAUGUAACAUCUUUAACCAGACCUAGACGUUAGAUCUGAAUUCAAAAGAUUAUAUUAUCCACUAAAGUGGCUCAAUAAGCUAUCAAAGUUUUGAAAACGAUCAUUUUAAAACAUUUGUUUAUUUUGGUAGGAAAUUUAGAUACAACUCAAAAUUUUAAUUAUGAUUUAGCAACGGAAAAGUACUGUCUAUUUAUUUUUAAUAAAAAUCGGGGUUCAUGCAUACUAGUUAAUAAUCGUAACAUGAUGUCCUAAAAAUUUAAAUCAAGUGUUAUGCAAAAUAAAAACAAACUCAAAUCAUAAACCCCAUGCCACAAUUCGAAUAAAAUAAUAAUACAAUCUCUAAAUAAUGAAAUAUCAAAUAAUAUAUCUAAAAAUAUUUUAACAAAAUUGAGCCGAGACCCUCUGGAUCUAUAAGGAUGAAAAUUAAAGGGGGACUGAGCUAUGACGCUCACUUUGAGUUCCAUCACAAUAAAAUUAGCGUAACAGUCAGUAAGGCAUAUUAAAUAAUAAUGCAUAAAAUAAUCGCAAUUAAGUAGCAGUUCAAAAUAUCCAUUUUCAAUUUAGCCAUCAUUAGCAUAUAUAAUUUACAAUAGCAAUAUCAAAAUAUUGAUUUCACAGAUCACUCAUUCAUAUAUUUAGAUAUAAAUAUAUCUUACCAGAAAUUCUAGGUUUGCAUGCAGAUGCUUUCAUAGAUGCCAUACGGUAUCAGUUUUAACAGAAAAGAUCCUACUCCACCGCUACACACUACGAUUAGAGUUAUCCAAAACUCCAACCGCUAACACACCAAAUUAUGGAUUAACUACCAAUAGAUUACAGUUUUACUGCCAAUGGUUGUGGACACAAAAUAGUGCAGGUAAAAUCUGCCAAUGGCCAUGGAUGCAAAACAUGCUUGCAGAUGAUUACUGUCAAAGGGUUAUGGAUGCACAACAAAAACAUCACAGAUGGAAUCUGCCUAUGGUUGUGGGUACACAAUAAGCCGUCGUAGAUGGAAUUUGCCAAUGGCUGUGGGUUCACAGCAAAAUAAAUGCAGAUAUACUGCAAAUACUUCCUCUAUUCAUAACAUCCUAUCCCAUGUAAAGCAAUAUGACAUGUUCGGCAGAUUAAUAAAAUAACAUUAAAUUAUGCUUUUAACAAACAAUACAAUAGCAAUCAGUAUUCUUAUAAUGGUUUGGUUCAGUAGCAAUGAACAUGCUUGUGACAGAUUAAUUUAUUAGUAAAAAUCAUGCUUUUUUGUGUGCUUGGUUUGACACUUACAUAAGGCAUACCAUACAUACGAUUACAACCCCUAAAAUAAUAGACAUAUAUAUAAUGUUCACAAUUCAUGUGUAUAUAUAUAAAUAUCAUACUAAAUCAAUUCAUCAAAUCAUGGAUUCUAACAUAAUUCAUAUCAUCAGGGCUUAAUUGAAUAAUUUGAAGCACUAUAAAUAGUUCAAAAAUCAUUCAGGGACUAAACUAAACAAAACAUAAAAUUCUUGGUCAAAAUCGUAAAAUCUAAGGUACAGGGGACACACGACAAUGUGGAAAGCCCUAGACUGUGUGGAAGGAGUGCACGGCAAUGUGGCUAGGUCGUGUGACAGACUAUGGCCUUGUGGCAUUUGAAAAAUCAACCUAUAAGGGAGACAUGACCGUGUGGAGGGUCCUAGGCCGUGUGAGGGUCGAAAUAACCUAGGGUUUCAGGGGGACAUGGUCAUGUGAGGGGGCCGUGUGGUCCACACGGGUGGCCCACGCGCCUGUGUGGCACUAUCUUAGGCAUGAUUUUGCAUUGUUUCACUUGUAAAAGAACAUACACUUGACUUCGGGAUCUCAAACGAUGUUCCUUGCGCCUAAAUCUGAUUCGAGGUACCUAGAUCAAGUCCUUCAAAUGACAUUUAAGCAAGAAUUAAUAAUGAUAUUCAAGAUUUAUCAAGAUUACUGGGAAAUAUUGACAAGAUUCGUAAAAGAUCAUUUGAUCAAUCUUAAAAUUAACAUGAAUAAAAAGUCUACAGGAAUUUAAGAUCUAAACUUUAGGAUUAGAAUGUUCUUACUGAUUCUUGGCAACGAGCGGAGAAUGUUUCGAAUUGCGAUUACGAAUCUAGUUGAAAAGUGAGUUAAAAUCAAGAAUAGAUUUCAAUUUUGGGUAAUCAAGAACGAUUUUCAACAAUGGAACAAAAUUUUGAUGAAAAGAAAAGCAAAGAAAAGAAAUAGGGAAGAAAUAGAAAAGAUGGAAGUAAAGUUCUAGGAGAAUUGGAAAAGGAAACAAAAUCCUAGCCUAGUUAGGAUAAUGGUUUAAAUAGCUAGGGUUUUCAAAUUUUUAGGGACUGUUUGGAUGGGUGAUUAACCAUUCUUGCCGAAAAUAAAAAAGGAAAUAGGGUGAGUGGUGUGACUUAAACUUGGGAUUCAAGGGAGAAAUGAAUGAUGCUUAACCAUUGAGCUACUACCCACACUUGAUCAUUUUUUACUCCAUUCAAUAUAUAUUCUAUGGAGAUUUUCAUUCUAGUUUGCUGAAAAUGAAAAGAAAAAUAUGGGUGAGAUGUAACACCCCAAACCCAGCCUAGACGUUAUGGUCGUAUCUGGUAAUGUCACACGAUAGUGUUUUUCAAACCUCGUUGUUACGAUGAAAACAUUCCAUGUUAUUAUCUUUAGUAAACCUUUGUUAGAACUUAGGAAUUCACCUUUAUUCAUUUAAAACAUUUGUUUUGAAACAUCCCUCGUUACAAAAGCUUUAAUAAAACAGUCUAAGUGAUCAUACGUGUAGAAAAUACUUUAACUUUUUGAAAACCAAAUUUCCUAUUACCAACAGGUAUAAAUCCAUAAAGUAAAAUAAAUAAAUAAAAAUCCAAAAUUUAAAACCAAAGUCCCAGAGGGUCCUUAAAUUACAACCCAAAUAAUCAAUACUAAUUAAUCAUAAAACGUAAAUUGAAAACCAUGAAGUCCAAAAAUUUCUGUGGUCACCGCUGAGUCCUCCGUCGCACCGAUCCAUCUAAGUUUGGGGAUUACCUGUGCACAUUAAACAAAAAGUGUGAGUUUACGUAAACUCAGUGUGUAAUCCCGCAGAAACAAACAAGCAAUCAGUAUUCAUAGUGCACAGUUGAACAGUCUUGGGCCUAAGCCCUUUUCAGUAUCAGUGACAAUUUGGGCCUUAGCCCAUCUCAGUAUAGUGUCAAAAAUGCAGUAGGGCCUUAGCCCAUCACAGUAUCAGUAGCAGUAACAAUUAUGCAGUAGCAAAAUCCUACCCAUCCAGCCUUUACAUACCAUCUCCGUCCAACCCUGCACUCCAUGUGGGGAUAUAAUCAACCGAUCCAUCCUUACACUCCAAUUAGUAUCGAAUGCAGCACAAAACAGUAGUUUGCAGCUGAGCUACUAGUAAAUUAGGCUUAAAGCCUUUUAGUCAACUUCCUCCGAAUAACAACCUCUAACCCAAUGCAAUGCAACAUACCAUGGAUGAUAUGCUAUUAUGCAAUUUCAGUACAUAUAUUCAGUUAAGAUAUUAACAUGCUCAGUAUAAAUAUCAUUCAGUCAAUUUCACACAUUUAGGGGUCUAAGUAGCGCUUACCGACCUUACAGUAGGUUCACAGUCGACUUGGGCGACCCAUGCAACCUUAGAAACAUUCCAGUAAGAAUGAGCCCACAAGCCCGUGUGUGCCCGUGUAGCCCACUCUGCCCAAAUUGGCCUUGGUCGUGUGAUCCAUUUUUAAUGUAACCCAUGCUAGCUAAAUAUUCAUAUAUGUUUUCACUAUUUACUUAUAUGUUCAUUCAAAGCUGUCUACUUGAGUCAUUGUCACUAAAUUAUUUAUAUCUUGAGCUACAGAAUUAUAAAUUAAAAUCCACUUGAUGUUUUCAAAACUAGACUCAAAUACUUUUCUACCAUAAAAUUUUUAGAUUUUAUAGUUUAUCAAAUAAGUACAGUAAAAUCUUCAAAUCUAUCCCGAUUCUACUAUUUGACAGCUUCAAUCUUUCCUUACUAAAAUUAUUUAUCUCUUAGUACGGAAUUUGGAUGAUAUUUCUGUUUGUUUCUCUUGAAAAUAGACUUGUUAAGGACUUAAAAAUAUAAAUUUAAGCGCCUAAUUAUUUUUUACAAUUUUUGAUGAUUUUUCCAAAGUCAGAAUAGGGGAACCCGAAACCAUUGUUUCUUCCAUUGCUUACAUUGUUUCUUCCAUGAAAAACUAGAGUCAACAAAAUUUAAUUUCAUAUUUUAUUCAACCUCUAACUCUAUUUCCACUAUUUUAGAUGAUUUUUUCAAAGUUAGACUACUGCUGCAGUCCAAAACUAUUUUAGUGCAAAAUGUCGAUUUCCAAGAUUAUAACACCCUUAUUUCCUUUCUCUACAAUUUUUCACAUCAUUUUCUCUUAUUUCUCGACAGUAAGCAAUUUUGGCUUUUCGCUGAAUCUCAUUUUCUUCCUUUCGGGUACACACCUGUAUCGUUUUCGUUGCUUACGCAAUCCCGAGAUCACCAAAAACCUUCUAACUUUGCACAAUUCCACGACUACUCAACACGAGGGAAAUAGCAACCGAAAUGAUUCGUUGCUGUAAAAAUAACCAUUCCUCAUUAAAGAAGAGUUCAACAAAGUUAAGAACGAAUUCAAAGCCAAAACCACUCGCCCAAACAACACAAGAAAACACAUGCCCUAUACGCAUACCAAACGAUCACCCCUUCGAGUCAAAUCGAUGAAUGUUAAUUCCAGAUGCACGAUCGACUCCUAAACAAUCAACAAAACACCCCUUAAUCCCUUAUCCAGAGUAACAUUCGAGUUUAAUAAAAUGGAAACUUACCGUACAACACAAUUGCACGCUUGCACAAAGGGUAAAAGAUGAAGAAAGACAACGAAAACGAAAGGGGAAUUCAAAGGAAAUUCAACAACAAUGAUUUAUUAUUUAGAAAAAAAGAGGAAAACUGAAAAUUGAGAGUGAGGGAGAAGAGAGAAAAUGUUAGAAAGGUGGAAAAGAGUUCUAAAUUUGAAAAAAAAACUAAACAAAAAGAUAAUGCCUAAAAAAUCUGGUAACUCAUCUCCUUAGUUCUCUCCCUAACCUCCCACAACAACUCCACUACUCGAAAUUUCAAUUUGACUAGGACUCCACUACGCCACACGGCCAAGCAACAAAAAAAAUAAUUCCCUAGCUCAUGCAAGGACUUGAACUCUAGAUCUCCCACCUCCCAACACAUAGCUUAGCCACCAAACCAGCAAGCCCAUUCUAAUAAUAUUUGCCAACUUUUACUUAAAAGCCUACUGACCAAAGAUAGGGCUUAUUCAUAAAAAUACCAAAAUUUUCCCAAGUCCUGGCUUGAACUUAAAACCUCACACACACACAGAAUACUUAACCACUGAAGCAAAUACACAAUUAUGUCACACUUUCGCAAGAACAAAAAUAAAAAUUCUGGGGCGUUACAUGAGAUGUGGAUAAAACCUAGGACCAUUAGGAAAGUGCUAACUUUUUAACCAUCAAACCAAGGACAUUUCUUGAUUAAUUAACCCUAUAUAUUUUGUGGUGUUACAAUUUCUUAAUAGCUAAAUUUCCCAUUUAGCUUUAAGGUGAUAGUCAAUUCGGGAGAAAACCAUGAGAUUUAAAAUCGUACUUAAAAAACAUUUAUUCUGGUAUUUAUUAUUUCUCUUGUUUAAGGAAUAGACAUUGCCGUCUCAUAAAGUUAUAGUGACACCAGGUAAAAAAUAGUUCGUUGAUAUGGUGUUGAUAGACAUACAAUUUGAAGAAUCGAUAUAAUCUGUUAUCGUAUUCGAUCUAUGGAAAAACUCAUUGGCGUGUCCAUUUAAGUGGUUGGUUGGAUCUGUCAAGAGAAAUAACAAUCGAAUUUAAAUGACCCACACGUUUAAGGUUGUUGAUUCUUUUUGGGCUCUUCUAGUUCACAAGGCUAUCGAAGAGCUAAAUCGUGGACUCGUGUUUUGUGGUUAUUCGUUCGGUAAGGGUUAGUUUUUGGGUGUUCCCGUAAUUAAUUUACACACGGAAAGAUUGGUGGUAUUAGGUGCCCUCGAUUACUAUAACAGAUUUAUUGAUUGAAGGAGAAGAUGUUUUAUCAAAGAUCAGCUUGAAACUAGAGCCGAAAUUGAGCCUGAAGCUAGAAUAUUUUCACAUUGGUAUAUUCAAUCUAUUUUUUUUUACUUUUAUUUUGAUUUUAAGUAUUUCUAUUAAUUUUAUUUUAAUCAGAUUUAAUUCCCUUUUUUAUUUUUGUACGGAUCAUCACAUGUCGUGCUUGACACUCAACUUAGCUAAAUCGAAAAAUAAUUUUAGAUAUUCAAUCUCUGUGGGAUCGACCCUACUCCUUAUACUGAUGUUUAUAUAUAGUUUAGGCGUAGGAAUAUUAUUUUUGGUGGAUAUGGCACCAAUCAAUUAUCAAAUAAUUAUUUUCAAAAAUAUAUUUUAAAUUUUUUGACUAAACUACACAUUUAGUCAUCCAACUUUCAUAAAUUUUUAUUUUGUGCACUGAAACAGUGCCCAUAUUGUAGUCUUUUUAUUUUCAGUGCCCCAAAAUAAAAAGAUUGCAAUAUGGGCACUAUUGUUACAUACUUUUAUCAUUUUAGUCACUGUCGGGAGUGACGAUGAUAAAAGUAUGCCGAUAAAAUUUUUUAUGUUUGAAAUUAUCGAAAAUUUAAUUUUAAGGGAUAAAUCCCAAAACUAUACAUGAACUAUGGUUUAAUAUGCAAUUGUAUACAUGAACUUUGAUUUUGUGUAAUUUUAUACAUGAAAUUUUGAUUGGAUCCAAUUCUUUUAAAUUAUUAACACAAUUAUUGAUAUUACAUCAUUUUAUGUUUAUAUAUUGCAUGCAUAAAUAAUUACAUUUAUCCAAUAUAAAAAUAAACUGAUGUAUUUAUUUCUUUAAAUGUGUAUGAUUAAAUCAAAAUUAAAGUUUCAAGUAUAUAUUUGAACCACAAUUAGAGUUUCACGCGUAUAAUUCCACCAAAUUAAUGUUCAUGUAUACAAUUACACAUUAAAUCAAAGUUCAUGUAUAAUUUUUAGAUUUAUCCCUAUUUUUAAUUACUAAAAUUAUCAAAUGCGAGACGAAGUUUAACUUAGAACAUUUAAAUUAAAUAUGCAUUUAAUUCAUGAAUCAUCAAAUAAGAUAUAUUUAUAUUUUCUAUUUCAUUGAAUUGAUAUCAUAAAUUAAUCAAACAUCAAUUCAAUUCAAUUGAAUAGUAAUUAAAAAAUUAUUAUUUAUACUAUUAUAACUUAUUUUUAUUCAGGCUAAGCUCGAUUUUAAACUCACUAUCGCAGGUAAUCAGGUUUCUAGUGUUAAGUUUAAUUUUGAAAAAUCCAAGUUGAAUCUUGCUACACUUUCAUAGCUCGAUUUUAAUUUUUGACCUUAACUUGGGUUAACUUGGGUUUUGACUAUAAAUUUUUAAUGUUGGCUUUUAUGUUAUUUGUCAAUGUUAUUAACAUUUAAGGGUGGCCUCUUUUUCCAAAGGAAGAGAAGAAAAAAGAGAGCGGCGAAGAGAACAGUGAAGCAUUUUAAGAAAAGAAGCUUACAAGAGAGGAGGUGGAAGAAGCAGAAGAAGAAGAAGAGAAUAGAGCGAGAGGAUCUGCUGGUAUAGUAUAUACCUUGUAUUGUAACUCUCUUGUUUGCAUACGGUGAAAUCUCACUUUAAAUAAACAUGAAUAAAAGGUAUAUCUUUUUCAUGCAUAAUACUACUUUCUAAUAAACUUUUAAUUUCCCAAACCAAAAAUUGUUUUGAUGAAUUUUAAUUGAUUUCUAAUUUGCAAAAUUGGUAGCACUCCAUUUGUUGUUCAAAAUUCAUCUAGCAGUACAGAAUCAAUAAAUUUCAUAUGUGACGAAGAAUUGAAUCUAAUAUAUUAUGAUUUUAAAUAUUCAAUAUUAUCAUUUUAAUCAAAUUUUUAUUUGGUAAAUAUAUUUUUUAAUAAAUUUUUUUUCAUCCACAAAGUGGAUGUACUAUAAUUUAGUAAUAAUCAAUAGUCUUCAUUGAAUUCUUAAAAAUUUUGAGAUUUCUAAUUCGAAUAUCGUCUCAUUUAAAUGUGUAAAUUCUUUUUUAAAGUUUUUCAGAUCAUAGUUGAUAUAGUUAUUUAAUUUAAUUCAAAGUUUUCCUAGUUAUAUGUAAAUGAAAAAAUUGCUUCUAAGGUACCUUCACUCAUGCUUCUAAUUAUUAAUUAUUUCAAAUUAUCAAUAUAUUUGUUUUAAAAUAAAUAAUGAAAACCGAAUAGAGAAACAAAGAGAAAACUAGAUGCCUCUACCUAAUUUUACAUCAAAUCAUAGUCAUUAUAUCUUGAGAUUUUCGAUUAUUUAUGUUUGAAGUUUGGAAUUUUCGUGUCGAUUUAUUUAAAAUUUAAUUUUUAUGAACAGUUUAAUUUCUAUAUAAUUUUACAUAUUAUUUAUGAGUUAACAAAAGUAUUGAAAUAAUUUUUUUAAAUUUAAAUUUAAAUAAUUUGUUUAAAAAGUUUUACAUGACAACUUUUUAAAAUCCGAACCCAAUUGUUUAGAUUUUUUAUAAAUGUUGUAUUUAUACAAGUCGAUUCAUAAAAUCACUCUCAAGUCAAUUCAGUUUCUUAUUUUUAUUAUAGCAUUAAAUGAUCUAUCCAAAAUAAUUGAUCCAAAAUAAUGGUGCGAUAGACAUCGGAGCUGUAUCCGGUAGAAGCUUAAUGUCGAACUCAACUUCUCGAUUCAGAGGUAAACCCGGUAACUCCUCAGAAAAACAUUCGAAAAUUCCCUCACUGUUCUCAUAUCCUCAACAGAAAGUCCCAAGAAAAACUAAAACACUAACAUAAGCCAAAUACACCUCACACCCUUUUUGAACCAAUUUCUCAACCACUAGAGCGGAGAUUACAUUAGACUAGUAAUCUCGACGCUCGACAAUUACGACAACCUCCUUAUCAUCCUCAGUCGUUAGAACGAAUUAGUCGCACAAUCCAAGCUAACUCGAUGCUCAACUAACCAGUCCAUACCUAGAAUUAAGUCGAACUCCCCAAACGGUAGCUCCAUCAAAUUUGCCGGAACACACAGCCCCUUGUACCCCUAUAUAGUCUACUAACCCGAACAGAUUGCCCUAACGGACUCAGUACAAUAAUCUCAGUAGAAGUACAAUCAACAGAAAUCCCCAAGUUCUCAAAAACAGAACUAGCUACAUAAGAGUGUGUAGAACCUACGUCUAUCAAAGUAGUAUAUGGAGCAUCAAAAUAAAGAACGUACCCGUGAUCACAUCAGGGGCAUCUCUGUCCUCUCAGUGUCGAGCAGCAUAAACCAGUGCAGGCUGCCUCGCCUCAAUCUGAUUAGCAUCUCUACCCGGUGCUCUGUCCUUAGCCCAUACCAUUACCAUCCCUAGCCAGUCCACGGCCUUUAGGUGGCUGCUGCAUUGCUCACUAAGGCUGAGUAGAACCCGGUCCCGAAGCUUGCAUCUGAUCCACACGAUGUGGACAUUCUCUGAUCCAGUGCUCUAAUGAUCCACAUUUUAGAAAAGCCCCUAAUCUCCUCCAACACUCGCUCGGAUGGCGCCUACCACAAUCACCACAAGGUUGAAUCCAAGUAGGAGCAACAGGAACUCCCACUCUAACAGGCCCAUCAGGUCUAGCUUGUUUCUUAGGCCUUUGAACAGAACUAGAGGGCUCCGAAUCCCUCUUAUUCUUGCCCCUCUCUCUGUCUUUGCUCUGGCGCUCCACGCACUUAACAUCUUCGGCAAUCUUUGUAUUAUCUACCAAAACAACAAACUCACGCUCCCUCUGCGAAGUAAUUAGACGCUCAGACUAUCCCUCAAACCAUCCUCAAAACGGACACAUUUGUCAUACUCGGAUGCCACCAUGCCUCGAGCGUAGCAGCUUAAUCUCAAAAAUUCAGCCUCAUACUCAACCACAGACUUAUUACCUUACGUGAGAUUCAUAAACUCAUGCCUAUGAGCAUCAACAUAGCUCGCGCCCACAUAUUUUCCCUGGAAGGCAGUCUUAAAGUAGUUUCAGUUCAGAUGAUCCAGUUGAGUACCCUCCUCUACCGGUAACCACCACUGAUACGCCUCAUUGUGACGUAAAGAAACUGCACCCUUCAAUUUCUUCUUAGGAGUGUUGUCAAUGUCAUUCAUAAUCCUCUCAGUAGCCACCAACCAAUACUCGGCCACAGUAGGGGCGACUCCAGUGACACUCCUAAACAACUCAGCUCCAUUGAACCGGGGUCGUUCAGUUACUGACCCACGGCCCUCAAAUCCAGAAUAGGGUCCAACGACCCUCUCCAACACCCUUAACAUGGCUUGGGACAAUGCGUCGUCCCCAACUGAGCGGCUUUGAGGCCCAGUCUCAGUAACAUGUGAAACUGAUAUCUUACUCGUAUCUAAAUUCGGUAUACUACCCAGAGAGGAAGACUCAGCUUGAGCCCCCUACGGCGCCUGCCGCACCCACGAAUAUUACGAUCGCGAGUUCCACGAGUGCUCAUCGUAUUUUUAGUUUUAUCUACAUUAUAAAAUUUUAUGCAUCAGUUCCAGUAUUUAUUAAUAGAUAUUUUAUGCUCAAGUUAUCAGAAGUUCCAAAGGAUUUCAGAGGUUUUAAUCUCUAACUAACUUAGUGCAGUUUCAGAAAGUACUAACCACAGUAUUUUCAGAAAAUUCUAUCUAAGUUUAGAAAUACUUACAGGAUCGGCGCCGAAGACUUGAUGUACCACAUACGUACUGAAAAUUAUUCAAAUCAAUUAAAAGCCAGUCCUUUGUCAAAACAUAAUUUUGGAACCCAAAAUUCACAGCCCGAGUUUUGUAACUUGGCUCUGAUACCACUAAAUGUAACACCCCAAACACGACCUAGACGUUAUGGCCGAAUUUGAUAGUGUUACGAAGAAGGGUUUUGAAAUUGAUGAUUUUUCAAUAAACCAUGUUUAACUAUUUGAUAAAACGUCCAAGUAUUAUAAAACAUAUUCAUUACUGAAACCGUUAUAAGUUGUUCCUUAAAAUUAAUCGUUUAUUUUGCAGCGGAAGUUUGGAAAUCGUUUAAAACAAAAACCAAGCUCAUGUUUUCGAAAACCCAUUUGUUGCGUAAAGUGUUUUUGUUGACGUUACGAAAAAAUAGCAAAACAAAAUCCAAAUGCAAAAGUUAAAACCAAAUUGUUUGAAGAGUCCCAAAAAUUACAAACUAUCAAGAAAAACCAAACUUUAAAAUUAAACCACUAAUUACUAAAUAAAAACAGUUCUUGGUCGAGUGGUCACCGCUAAGCCUCCGUCGCACCGACCCGCCUAAGUCUGUGGAUUAAUUGAACAGAACAGACAAACAAUUGUGUAUUUUCGUAAACUCAGUGUGUGACCCAAUAGAAAUAGCCAUGCAACAUGCACAGUGUUUCAUAUAAAGUCAGAUACAGAUUCGACCUUAAGUCCAUAACAAACACAAAUAUCAGAAUCAGAUAAACAAAACAAAUAUACAGAAUCCUACCCCCAUCCUCUACACACCGUCUUCGACCAUCCCAUCACACCACGUAGGGUUAAAAACACCCACCCAUCCCUACACAUUAUAUAAUGUCGAUGCGACACAUAAUAGAUAAUAUGCAGUCAAGCUGCCAAAAUAUAGGCGAAGAGUCGCUACACAGAUCACUUCCUCCACAUAUACAAUUUCCACUCCAUUCACAGAUACAAAGUACAGAUGCAGAAAUAUCAUAUUAAACAUGCUUAACAUGCUCGUAUACAGAUAGAUACAUAAUUAAAUAGUACAAUCAUACAUACAUAUCAGUAUCCUACUCAGAUCAGUCUAUCAAAAUAUCAAAUCACAUGAAAUAAGGUUUGGUUAGCCCUUACUGACCCUACGAUAGGCCCACAAUCGAUCGGAACGACUUGUGCAACUUUAGGGAAAGGUUCAGAAUUCUGGGCCCACAUGCCCGUGUGGCCCCACACGCCCGUGUGGCCUACUAGCUUAGCCCAAAACCCACACACCCGUGUAGUAUGCCCGUGUGGCCCAUACGCCUAACUUGGCCUAGCCCGUGUAGCCCAUACGGCCACACUCACACCGUCACAAUACCGUGUCUUGCGCAGGACCACUCCUUCAUCACUCACACGGCCGUGUCUCGCACAUGGCCAUCUACACGGUCAGCCACAUGCCCAUGUAGCGUCGACAGGCUUCAUUUUUAGCUUUUAUCGAAACUCGAUUUUUCGUGUUAGGAGUACACACCUGGUUCAAUUUUGAUGCGAAAUCACUCUUGAGACCACUAAAACCUAAAAUUUAUCAUUAAAAAGUCAAAUUUAGCUGCAUAAAAUGAUGUUAAACUGAAACUAUAUCGAAUUAACAAUCUCUUGUUCAACCAAAACCCUUACCUUCGAAUGAACAACAGUGAUUUCCUGCAGUUAUAACACUGAUGGAAAGCCUUGAGCCCCUUGAUCUUCUCCUAAACGACAAUAAUGAAACCCCAUCAACCAAAAAUUCACUAGCCAAAAACAAGAACCAAACUUACCAAACCGAAAUUGGGUACCAAGACCGAAAUACAAUGAAUUGCACCAACAAAUUUAAUUAUCGAAACAAAAGAGGAAAGGAGAGCAAAAAUUGACAGAAGUCGAAAAGAAGAAGAAAACAAAACGUCAAAACAAAAAAAAAGAUUUUGGGAAAAAAAUAAAAGAAGAUAAAAUAAAAAUAAAUUAAUCUCAAAAUAAAAGUCCCACUAUAUCCACUCCUAACCAACUGAUAACUACCCAUUUAAACAGACUUUCGAUUCCAUCCAAACUUAGUCAACCGAAGCAAAAAUUAUCACCCUCGCUCACGUAGAGAUUCAAACGUAAGACCUCCAGCAAGCUAACUCAUUACCACUCGAACCAACAGGCUCAUUUUGAUAUAGAUUAACAGACAAUUUAUAUAAACCCACCCAAUAGGGAUAAGGCCUGGAUAAAAAAUAACAAAAUUUUUCCAAAUGUAGGACUUGAACCCUAGACCUCACACACACACACUCAAAACACUUAACCACUAAAACAAACUUAAAUUAUUCAAGGCGUUACAAAGUGGAUUGAAUUUUAGCUUGAUUGGUAUAGGUAUUAUUGUCAAUGUAAGAGGAUCUAGUUUCGAGUGCACUUAAACGCUUUAUCCUCCUAUUUAUGGGUUGGAGAGGGGUUAUGGGUUGAUGAGGGGUUAUGGGUAGUUCUUGGCAUUGUGUUAAAAAAAAUAGAUAUCAUCAAAACUUAUAAUGAGAUUAUUAAAAAAAUGUAUAAACAUAAAACAAAUUUUUUUUCAUCAUUUUCAGAUUUAAAUAAGCUUUAGAUUAAAAUAAAUUUGUGUUGCUUGAGGUUUUCGGAUCUAUUUACUCUCAUUUAAGUUGUAAAGUUUUUAUGAGAGGUAAAAUGCCAUCUCACCAUUUUAAUAGCUUACAUCUUUAUAAUUAUUUAAGGACUAAAUCAAAAUUUUAUUAUUUUUAAAAGUCAAAGUAUAAUUUUUACCAUAUACUAAUUUAUAAAAUUUAUAAAAUUUAAAACGCUAAAACAUAAACUUGCCAUUUUAGGGUGCAGAGCCAACCCCUAUAUUUCGAAUUUGAAUCAAUUUAAGUUUGAAUUUUUAUAUGAUUAAAGAAAAAUAAAAUAAGCUUUAUUUUAAAUUCAUCAAGUUAAAUUUAUCAAGUCAAAUUUUUAGUUAGAAAUCAAAAUUGCAAGGUUUACCUAUAUUAAGAAAAAUUAGCUACUCAAAAAUUGUUAAUAUAUGAACCUGUGUAUUGGCCUGAUGGUUAGGAUAUUUAUCGCCCCAAGUGUGACCUGGGUUCAAGUCGCAUUGCUAUUAGGGCUUUGCCCUCCUCUUAUAAUUCACCAAAAAAUUUGUUGAUAUAUAUUAUAUAGAGAUAGUAAACUAUUCGAAAUUUUUGAGUUGAUUUAUUUAAAUUUGAAUUUCUAUGAAUUUUUAUGUAUUAAUAGUUUAACUUAUAUAUAAUUUUACAUAUUAUUUAUGAGUUAACAAAAUUUUUGAAAUAAUUUUUAUUUAAAUUUAAAUUUAAAUAAUUUAUUUUAAAAGGUCUACAUGACAACUUUUUAAAAUCCGAACCGAAUUGUUUAGAUUUUUUUAAAAUGUUAUAAUUAUACAAGUUGGUUCAUAAAAUCACUCUCAAGUCAAUUUAGUUUUUUUUAUAGCAUUAAAUGAUGUAUCCAAAAUAAUUGAUCAGAUUAACUUAUAUGUCAGUCUAAAAUCAGCACUAAAUGUUAAACAAUUAUGUUAAAUUUAAUUUUUAUGAUUAAAAAUAUAAAUAUCAAUAGUCAUAUUAUUAAAUUUUAGAAAUAAAAUUUUUAACAAAAAUAAUUACUUCAUCUUUAAAUUGUUUUUCACUAUCAAUUGACUAAAUUAUAAUAAAAUUUAUAGCAGCCUCAGUGAAAGGGGGUGCUCAUUCUAGUAAAAGGCAUAAUGUUUUCUUUUUCUUUUUUUAUCUUUUAAUGUUAUAAAAAAGUCAUUUUAGUUUUUCAUUUACUUUUUUAUCUUUUAAGUCUUUAAAUUUGUAUUUUUGUCAAAUCACUCCAAAAAUGAAUGGAAAAGUUAACAUUUUUAACUUUGUUGAUGUUGUAUACAUGUGGACUGCUAUAGGGAUGACAUGCCAACAUUUAAUUAAUUUUUUAAAAUUUAAAAAAUUUAAAAUAUUAUAAAUGUUGGCGCCAUUUUUUUUGAUGAAAACGGGGUCGACUUGGGUUUUGAAAAAUGAAACGGGAGUCGCCACCAAUCCUUUUUUAUGAGGUGUGAUUGGAUCACCUUGAAAAGUGGUUGUUUUUAAUAAACGGUUUAGUUUUAUUAAAACAACGAUUUUGGUCCACAAAAUUCAGAAAAAUGGGUUCGGGAGUCGGUUACGCACGAGGAAGGAUUAGCACCCUCGAUACGCCCAAAAUUGGUACCUAAUUGAUUACUUAAUGUCUUAAUGUCGAAAACUUUGAAGAACUUUAAAAAAUACGAUCCUUAUAUUAAAAUAAAAAUUUUUGGGAAAAGUAGCAUAUUUCACGUUAAUCGAGAAAGAGAAUCAUAUCCAGUAAGUUAGGAUACAAUGUCUCAAAUUCCCAACACGCAAAUGAAAAAUGCUUAUUUAAAAGAUAUUUUAGCCAUCUCGGAUUUAAAAAUGAGAUCACGACCCGUAAGUUAGGACGCAAUUUUUUAAUCCCGAGAUCAUUUAAAAUUUGAGUUUAAAAAGAUUCGUCAUUUAGAUUUAUCGUGAAAAUCGAAACCCAGUAAGUUAAGAUACGAUCCUCUCGAAUCUAAAGACGAAAUAUUAUUUAUUCAAAACAAAUUAUGUUAUGUCGAGUAAAAUAAAACACUAAAAUCGUAGUAAAAAAAUGUGAAAGCAAUUUGCAUUGUUGUUAUUCAUGGCAAAAUCAUAAUGAAUACAAAAGUAUAAAAUGAUAUGAGCAAUAGCAACAAUAAUAAAUAAACGUUAGUCCUACAAUCAUAUAAAAUAACAAUGUAUAUAAACAAAUAAAUCAAAACUUUCAUUCAAAAUAAUAAUAAAAUGAAAUAAAUAGUGAACACAAAUAAAACGUAAAGGAAUAUAUAUAUGUAUAGAAAUGUAAAUUAAAAUAUGUGUGUAUACGUAAGUUACAAAAUAUAUGAAAUAUAUAUAAAGUAUAUUUUAAAAUAUAAAGAAAAAAUAAAUAUGUAUGAAGUGUAUGUAAGUAUAUAAAUAUGUAUAUAUAAUAAAGGUGUAUGAAAAUAUAUUUUAUAUACAUGUAUUUAUAAAAAAAUGCAUAUAGAUAUAUAUAGAUGGUUUUAAGCUAUGAAGUAUGAAAAAUAUGUACAUGUAUGAAUUAUAAAAUAUAUAAAAUAUGUACAUAUAUAUAUGUAAAAAUAUGUAUUUAUAUAUUUAUAAAGGUUAGAAAUAUGUACGUGUAUUAUAAAUAUAUAUGCAUAUAUAAAUAAAUUAUAAAAUAGGUAUGUUUAUAUGUAUAUAUAUAUAUAUUACAAAAAAAUGUGUAUAAGUAUAUGUAAAAAUAUAUAAUAAUAUAUGUAUAUAUCUAUAAAAGCAAUUAUAAUAAUAAUAAUAAUGCAAUAACAAUAAUAAUAUAAAAUUUGUAAAGAAAAUAAACAAAAUCACUAAAGGAUUAGAUUAAACAUUAAACAAGAUUCGGGGGGUUCAAAGCGCAAAUAAACGAAAGGGGAGGGAUUGCUCUGAACACGCAUGUAACAUGGAGGGACCAUCAAAGAAAAUUACCCUUCCUUUAAAACGGCGUAGUUCGAGUAAGGACGAAGUUGAAAAUACGAAAAAAUUUUGGGUAAAUUUAAAAGAUCAAAAGAACCUAAUUUAAAAAGCAUUAAAAAAGCGGAAGGGCUAAAGGUGCAAUUAGCCCUUCCGUCAAAAACACGCGGAUCCCUAGAUCAGACGGGUCGGGUCGCGGGUCGGAUCUCGGUUUAGACGCAAAACGGCGUCGUUUGAGGCCGAAUGAAACAGGCCAAAACGACGCCGUUUCAUUUAGGUAUUUAAACCAAUUUUUGUUUAAAAAAAUCAUUCAGCCCCAUUCCCCUUUUUUAAAAAAACUAAAAACUUCUCAGUUCUCUCUCCCUCUUCCCCUUUCUUGAUCUCGGGUCCGGCCGAGGGCCACCUUGUCGGCCGUCGGAUCGCCGGUGCCAGUGACGCCGUACACGGUGGCCGGCGAGUGGAGAAAGGCGUGCCCUUAGAGAUGCCUAUCUCCUAAACCCGAAUCCGGCCUCAAAAUGACCAAAAACGAAUGGGAAAAGGCUGUUAGGCUUCUCUACAGUCGGUUUCCUCACCGGAGAAGGAGUUUCCGACGAGGAGGAAACAGCGACCCGCGGUGAGUCUCUUUUUUCUUUAUUUUAUGUUUUUUAUUUCGUUUAAAAAAUCAAAAUAAAAUAAAAUAAAUACAACGAAAAAAAGAAAAAGUAAAUAUUGCAAUCGAAAACCCAGGGAAUCACCUUGAAGCUUGAUAUUUUUUAUUAUUCUGUUGAAAUUUGUUUUCUUGGUUACAAAUCGAAAAAAGAAAAAGAAGCCCUUUUGAUUUUUUCAAUCGGCCUUAUAUAGCCAAACUACAAAAUAAAAAAUCUCCUUUUGCUAUCCGUAUUUGCUGUUGCUUGUUGGUGUUUGUUGCAGGUACUGGCGGAGCAGUUGGAGCAGGUGAGUCGGUGGCAAGUGGGCGUGGUGACGGCUGUGAACAGAGGGCAGGUGAGGAGGCCAGGAGCAGGUGCGGCACAACAAGGGGCUAGGGUUUCUGCUAGGUGUUUAUGUUUUGGGCUGAUUGGGUUAGGCUAGUUGGGCCUGGGUAGUUUUUAGGUUAAAAUUUGUUAUUGGGCCCUGGGUCAAAAAUUGGGCUUGUACAGCUGCCCCUCUUUGCUCGUUGUCGUGUAACGAUAACAGAGCAAAGACUAAGAAAGACCAAUUUUUGUCCAGUCUUUGCCGAGUAUUGACUUCUCUUGACGCUUCUUUUCAAGUAACUUUAUUCUAGUCCACUGUGUCUUGUUGCGUCGACCCACUCCACUGUAACUUCCAAAAGACAAAACUUGUAGCUUCAAUCCACUCUAUUGUAGCUUCAGGGGGUAAGGUCCAUCAUUUUGACCCGCUCCACUGCAACUUCAGGGAGAUCGGACUCAUAUCUUCAACUUGCCCCACUACAACUUCAGGGGGAUAAGAUUCGUGACUUCAACCUGCUUUACUGCAACUUCAGAGAGACAAGGUUUGUGACUUCGCUUCCAUCUAUUCUACUACAACUUUAGGGGAAUAAGAUUAGACAUGAUAAGAAUCACUAUCUUCUGUCCGCUCCGCUACAACUUUAGGGAGACACGCCUUAUUGUUUUCAGUCUGUUCCACUGCAUCUUCAGGGAAAUAAGACUUGAUGCGAUCUACUCUGCUGUAACCUCAGAGAGAUAAGAUCUUUUAUUUUAAUCCGCUCCACUGUAACUUCAGGGAGAUAGGAUAGUGUCUUCGAUCUGCUCCGCUGUAAUCUCAGGGGGAUAAGAUCUGAAAUUCUUUGGUCUAUUCCACUGUAAUCUCAGGGAGAUAAGACCUGAUGUGAUCUUCUCUACUGUAACUUCAGAGAGAUAAGAUCUUUUAAUCCGCUCCAUUGUAAUCUCAAGGAGAUAGGAUUACUAUCCUUGAUCUGCUCCGCUGUAAUCUCAGUGAGAUAAGAUCUGAAAUUCUUUGGUCUGUUCCACUGUAAUCUCAGGGAGAUAAGACCUGUAUAAUAAACCUAAUUAUGCCUAAUGAUUAGGAUGACAUGAUCAAAAUGAAACAAAUGCUCCUAACUAGACAUAUGUGAAUGGUGUUUGCAUGAAUGCAGAAUUUUAUUUUUCCGAGAAUGAUCUCGCUUAGGUUAUCACUACUCGAAGUUUAUCAAGGUUUUGUGACUGAUGUGCUACAACGCCUUCUCGCUUGGCUGAUUUUUCUGAAGAAACAUUUAGCCAGACUGUCCCCAUUGUAAACCUCAAAGUUAUAUCCACUGGGAUGCCAAAAUUUGUACCAUCAUUCUCUCACAGUAAUCUAAGGGUAGAAAUAUGUGGCUUUUCCUCUGUCCUCUUUUAUCACAAUUUGGGGAUAUAGGAUCUGAACCGUUCUGGUUUCCUACACCAUUCUCAAGGUGUCGUACCAAAGUCUUAUGCGCAAGUGAAGGCUCUCUUCUCCGAGGUAACCUCUUCCUAUUGCCUGAUGAUCAUUGCUUGCUUGUUCAUUUAAGCUUUGUAAUUAACACGACAGCUUGUCAUUUUGUUCAAUCAAUGUUUAGACGACAAAAUCUGAAAGGAUAGUCUUUAACUUAGACUCUUCCUUCCUAGCUAUUUCACCCUUUAAACUUGGUAUUUUCUAAACAAUAGUCAUGUUUCAGGUCCCUAUAUUAUUUAGAAAUUUUCCAGAGUAAUGUGCAAAACUUCUUUCCUGAAAGUUUUAUUAGUUCGUUAAUCAUUAUUCCUAUGCAACAUGUUUGCAAAAAGAUCAUAACAAUGGAUAAGAAUAAAGCUAGCUCUGAUCAUAACUCAAAUAAAACAUCAAAGAUGGCGAAAGAAAGGUAACAAAGAAGUGGAUUGAGAAUGUGCGUUUUCACAAAAGGAAAGGAAGAAAUAAAGAAAAUAAAAAAAUGUAUUUUCAAGAAUACACAUAAGAACUAGGUGCCCCAGUUAUCACCGAUUGAGUUUCUCUGUACAAACUUUCCGAAGACCCUUCUAAGUUUGACAUGUGUUCAGGAGAUCUGUAAUACUCUGUCAAUGUUCCAAGACGUUGCAUAUCCUUUCUCAUUGGUUCAAGUAAAGGAAGAUCAUCAUAUCCCCCCGAUCAAAAUUUGAUCCGCUCAAGUCCUGAUGUUCCAAUCCUGCCCAAUACUUGAGUCGCCCUUUUCGGGUUUUCGACUCAAGCCCUCUUUGGUCUCAAAGUGCCCUUUACGGGUUUUCACCUUAGCCUCUCCAAAGUCUCCCCCUUUUUUUUUUUUUUAGGAAGCAAAGCGCCCUUUACGGGUUUUCACUUUGGUUCCCCUUUCUUUCAAGUGAAGUACUUCUUGACGGAGUCUGCGUUUACAGGAUUUGGUAAAUUUUUGCCAUCCAUCUCGCAUAGGAUCAAAGCUCCACCGGAAAAGGUCUUCUUUACAACAUAAGGGCCUUCCCAAUUUGGCAUCCAUUUUCCUCUAAAAUCUUUUUGCAUAGGAAGAAUCUUUUUUAGUACCAAGUCCCCUUCACGAAAUUCUCGGGGGCGAACCUUUUUAUUAUAGGCUCGCAUCAUUCGUUUCUGGUACAUUUGCCCAUGGUGAAUAGCUCUUAGCCUCUUUUCUUCUAUUAGGUUCAACUGAUCGUACCGAGAUUGGAUCCAAUCGGCUUCAUCCAACUGUAGCUCAGAUAACACCCGUAGAGAAGGGAUUUCAAUUUCAAUGGGUAAUACUGCCUCCAUUCCAUAAACCAGAGAAAAAGGCGUUGCCCCAGUAGAAGUUCUAACAGAUGUUCGAUAGGCAAGGAGAGCAAAUGAUAAUUUCUCAUGCCAAUCCUUGUAGGUUUCAGUCAUUUUCCCCACAAUCUUUUUAAUGUUUUUAUUGGCCGCCUCCACUGCACCAUUCAUUUUGGGACGAUACGGCGAUGAGUUAUGAUGCUUAAUUUUAAAUUUGCUACAAACUUCAGCUAUUGUGCUAUUAUUCAAGUUCAUCGCAUUGUCGGAUAUGAUCCUCUCAGGCAUUCCAUAUCGACAAAUGAUCUCCUUCUUCAAGAAUUUGCUGACUACUGCUUUCGUGACAUUUGCAUAUGAAGCAGCCUCCACCCACUUGGUAAAGUAAUCAAUUACUACGAAGAUGAAGCGAUGCCCAUUAGAAGCCUUUGGUGAUAUUGGCCCAAUAACAUCUAUACCCCACAUGGAAAACAGCCAAGGAGAGGUCAUGACGUGAAGAGGUGAAGGAGGCGCGUGUAUUUUGUCUCCGUAAAUUUGGCAUUUGUGGCACUUCCUGGCAUAAUCAAUACAAUCUCCUUCCAUUGUGGGCCAAUAGUACCCAAAUCUCAUGAUCUGUCUGGCCAUCGUGAAACCACUGGCGUGCGUCCCACAAAUACCCUCAUGGACUUCUUCCAAAAUUUUCUUGGCUUCUACAGCAUCCACACAUCUUAACAGUACUUGAUCCUUCCUUCUUUUAUAUAACACUUCUCCAUCUAAGACAUAUUCAAUGGCUAUCUUUCUCAGAGUUCUUUUGUCAUUCUCUGUCGCUUGAUCAGGGUAUUCCCGAUUCUUCACAUAUUGUAGGAUACUCUGAUACCAAGGACAAUCAUCUUUUCCCUCCUCCUCAAUAUUGCAGCAAUUAGCCGGGGUCUCAGAGAUACUCAUCUGGACAGGCCUCAUUGCCUCAAGUCUAUUCACCUGAAUCAUCGAAGCUAGAGUAGCUAAUGCAUCAGCCAUUUGGUUUUCCUCCCGUGGGAGGUAAUAGAAGGUGAUAUCGUCAAACUCCUCAGCCAAUUCAAGAACUAGUUUUCUAUAACCGAUUAGCUUAGGAUCUCUAGUCUCCCACUCCCCUUUAAGUUGGUAUAUCACCAACGCUGAAUCCCCGUAUACUCUCAAUACUUUGAUGUUCCAUUCAAUGGCUGCACGAAUGCCCAUAAUACAUGCUUCAUAUUCUGCCAUGUUAUUUGUACAAUCGAAGUCCAACUUGCUAGCAACAGGAUAAUGAUCUCCACUUGGGGAUACCAAGACUGCCCCAACUCCAUUACCCGUAGCAUUUGAAGCUCCAUCAAAAUUUAACUUCCAUACGUGAUCCAUUUGAGGAUUUUCUUCAGUAUUCGCCACAUACAUCAAGUCCUCGUUUGGAAAAUCGAAAUUCAAAGAUUCAUAGUCCUCCAAGGCUCUACUAGCUAGGAAAUCGGCUAUUGCACUUCCCUUUAUGGCCUUCUGACUGACAUAUACUAUAUCAAAUUCUGAGAGCAAGAUCUGCCAUCUAGCCAUUCUCCCGUUCAAAGCAGUCGAUUCCAUCAUAUAUUUUAAAGGAUCUAACUAUGAAAUCAGCCAAGUCGUGUGAUACAACAUAUACUGCCUCAGUCUUCGGGUUGCCCAGAUUAGAGCACAACACAACUUCUCAAUUGAUGAGUACCUCAUUUCGCAAUCGGUAAAUUUCUUACUGAGAUAGUAUAUUGCCCUUUCUUUCUUUCCCGCCUCAUCAUGUUGGCCCAAUACGCAUCCCAUGGAAUUCUCCAACACUGUUAGAUACAAUAUCAAUGGCCUAUCUGGACUUGGAGGUGAUAAGACUAGAGUAUUAGCCAAGUACUGCUUUAUCUUAUCGAAAGCCCUCUGACACUCUUCAUCCCAUUCGCCCGGAUUAUGUUUCUUUAAGAGCCGGAAUACUGGAUCACAUUUCUCUGUCAGUUGUGAGAUGAACCGAGCAAUGUAAUUCAGCCUCCCUAGGAAACCUCGAACCUCCUUCUGAGUGCGCGGGGGAGGUAAAUCUCGUAUUGCCUUUACUUUGUCUGGGUCAACCUCGAUCCCCUUUUUGCUAACUAUGAAGCCUAAUAACUUCCCUGAUCUGGCUCCAAACGUGCAUUUGGCCGGGUUAAGCUUGAGCUGAAAUUUUUUUAAUCUCAAAAAUAACCUUUUCAAGACCUGAACAUGCUCUUCUUCCGUUCUAGACUUCGCGAUCAUAUCGUCAACAUAGACUUCGAUCUCCUUGUGCAUCAUGUCAUGAAACAAAGUCACCAUAGCUCUUUGAUACGUUGCUCCCGCAUUCUUCAAUCCGAAGGGCAUUAUAUUGUAACAGAAUGUUCCCCAUAAGGUAAUGAAUGUGGGUUUCCUCAUGUCUCCAGGAUGCAUCUUUAUUUGAUUGUAUCCAGAGAAACCGUCCAUGAAAGAAAACAAUGAAUAGCCGGCCGUGUUAUCUACCAAAGUAUCAAUGUGAGGCAGUGGAAAGUUUUCCUUUGGACUAGCCUUGUUUAAAUCCCUAUAAUCCACACACAUUCGUACCUUUCCAUCUUUUUUGGGAACCGGGACGAUGUUGGCUACCCAAUCCGAAUACUUGACCUCUUGUAAGAAACCAGCGUCGAAUUGUCUUUUAACUUCUUCUCUUAUUUUCAACACAAUGUCAGGUCUCAUUCUCCUAAGCUUCUGUUGAACGGGUUUACAAUCCUCCUUUAUGGGCAGACGAUGCACCACAAUGUUAGUACUUAGCCCAGGCAUAUCUUGGUACGACCACGCGAAAACAUCCUUGAACUCUCAGAGCAAAUUAAUAAGGUCUUGCCUUGUCUUUGCGGUGAUUUCAGUUCCAAUUUUCACCUCCUUUUCGUCCUCUAGGCUCACUAUUUCUAACGAUUCCCUAUGAGGUAGGAUAUGCUUAUCCUCUUGUUCCAUCAUUCUUAACAAGUCCGGAGAUGCAUCAUAAUCUUCGUCAUUUUCAAAGUCGUGGGAUCCCUCUGAACACACUUCUUGCUCAAAAAUAGGCUCCAUGUUUGAGGCUCAUAAGGGCAGAUCUCCAACAAAGCCCUCCUUUCCGUUGCUUCUAUGGCGUUGGUAUAAACGUUUUCCAACAUUCCUCCCAUGCCGCUACCGGACACUCCACAUUCAGAAUGAAUAAAUCCUCCCGACACAAAAGAUGUAGAUAUGUGGGGAAAGGUUAAAGGCUCACACUUAGCUUCAUGUCCAUUCAAACGCGCCCUUCUUCUCUCUUGUCUCUUCUCUACUUCUUUCUUCUUCUGCUUCAUGUCUGGCUUGUACCCUAAACCAAAUCUAUCAAACUUUUCCUUCGGCAUUGGUGCCUCAAUCUUUCCCUGAAGAUAUUUUCCCAAUCCUUUCCCGGGUAAGGCUCCUCUUCCUACCAUCAAUCGCAAUCCCAUCUCAGUGGUUCUGGAUAUUUUCGGUACUGGAAUUCUAUUUCCCUCCGCAAUAAACAUCGCGUUCACAAAUUCUAACGACCGAAAAGAACAUUCUAGUGCCUCAUCGUUGAUGUCCACAUAAGGUGCAUCGCUAGUCAUCAUUGCGAUAAUAUCCUCCUCUGCAUCUAUUGUUACCAACCGAUCCUCCGAUACCAACUUCACCUUCUGAUGUAAUAAUGAAGGUACUGCCCCUGCUGAGUGUAUCCACGGUCUCCCCAAUAGACAGUUGUAGGAGGGUUUAAUAUCCAUUACCAAGAAAUCCACCUCAUAAGUGACUGGGCCAAUCCUUAAUGGUACCUCAAUUCUCCCCAUAACCUCCUUUUUUGUUCCAUCAAAUGCCCUUACUAUGCUCUGGCAUGCUUUCAUGUGCGAACUGUCUAUUGGUAAUCGACUAAGAGUGGACAAAGGCAAUACAUUUAGUGCAGAUCCAUUAUCAACCAAGGCCCCCGGGAGUGUGUACCCUUUGCAUCGGACAGUAACAUGCAGGGCUUUAGUAGAACCUCUUCCUCCGGAUGGUAUUUCAUCAUCACUGAAGAAGAUAAAAUUGUCAGCACCAAUAUUGUUGAUCAGCCGAUCCAGCUUGUUUACCGAAAUAUCGUCAGCCACAUAUGUUUCGUUUAGCACCUUUAAUAGUGCAUUCCGAUGUACUUCUGAGUUUAAGAGUAAAGCUAAUACAGAAAUGCGGGCUGGCUGUUUGUGCAGUUGCUCCGCAACACUGUAUUCACUGUGUUUCAAAAACUUCAAAAACUCCUUUGCCUCCUCUUCUUUUAUUGGUUCAUUUACCAAUGGUUCAACUUCUACUGCUUUCCCUUUCCUCUGUUCUUUCUUCCAAUUCUCUUCCCUGGACGACUCUGCUUGAGCAUCAUAUCUUUUUCCAUUGCGCGUGUAAGAACCUAUUUCCUGAUUUCUUUCUGCUUCUUUUCCCAAAAUGGUCACAUUGCACCCGUAAUUCCACGGCACCAUUUUGUUAUCCCUAUAAGAGAAAUUUGAUGGUUUCUGGAUUACAAUUUUUGGUGUUACCUGAGCCCUAACCUCAUUACCCUUAGGGCGUGAGAUAAUGACCACAGGAUGAUUUAUUUUUGGAGCCUUUGUUCCCAACUCUGUCGCGCAUAUGCUCCUCAUUUCUUUCGCAUCUUCGUAAAACCUCAUCUCCUUGUUAUCCAUCAUGCUUUGAACCAAAGCCUUAAAUCCUUCACAUUCUUGGAUUUCGUGCCCUGUUUUAUGGUGAAAUUCACAAUAAUUUCCCAUCUCAUGCCCUUCCUCAGAAUCUGAAAUAACCAAACCUCUUUUCGCCAUUUCUUUCCAGACCCGUUUCAAUGGAGUUUUUACUUCAGCAAUGUCAGUCUUGACUUCUUCUCCCGUACCUUCGCUAACCAUAUUCACCCCCUUAUCUGCGUGAUUAGGUAACGGAUUCUUUGCGUUAGGUGAGUCGUCAAGUUUGACAACACCUAAAUUGAUAAGUCCUUCUACUACCUUCUUGAAGGCCGUACAAUUUUCUAUCGAGUGCCCAGAAAUUCCCGCAUGAUAAUCACAUUGCGCGUUCGUAUCAUACCAUUUUGGAUACGGGGGUUGUAGAGGACUCAAGUAACGAGGAGCAACAACAUGUGCAUCGAAUAAAGUCUGAUACAACUCCUUGUAUGACAUCGGGAUUGGCGUGAAUUGGGGCUUUUCAGUAGUUUGCCUAGCUCCCGACUCUUGUCUUGAUGAUCCCUGUUGAUUAGCAACCACUUUCUUUGGUUGAUUCACGGUAAUUGACCUACCAUAAGCAUUCACAUUAUUCACUUCAUUUUCUCUUUUCCUCAGGGGUGCCCUCCUAUUAUUUUCUCCUCCAUCUAUUUUUCCACUUUUAAUGGCAUGCUCAAUCAUUUCACCGUUCAUGAUUAUAUCCGAGAAAUUUUUUGAAGCGCUUCCCAACAUGUGAGUGAUGAACGGGGCUUUCAAAGUAUUAAUAAAAAGCGUCGUCAUCUCUUUUUCCAAAAGCAGUGGUUGCACCUGAACCGCCACCUCUCGCCACCUCUGCGCAUAUUUUCUGAAGCUUUCGUUCGAUUUCUUCUCUAAAUUUUGCAGAGUUAUCCUGUCAGGUAUCAUUUCUGAGACAUGAUUGUAUUGUCUCAGGAAAGCCUGUGCUAAAUCCCUCCAAGUAGCAAUUUUAGCUCGGCUCAGCUGAUUGUACCACUUUGACGCCGCUCCCGUAAGACUUUCCUGAAAGCAAUGUAUUAAUAAUUGAUCAUUAUUAAUAUGCCCCGUCAUUCUUCUACAAAACAUAGUAAUAUGGGAUCCUGGGCAACUAGUCCCGUUGUAUUUCUCAAAUUCCGGCAUCUUAAAUUUGUAAGGGAGCACCAAGUCCGGAACCAAGCUCAGAUCCUUUGCAUCUAUUCCAUAGCUUUCGAUGCUUUCUAUUGCCCUAAACUUCUCUUCUAUCCAUUUCCAUUUCUCCUCAAAUUGUUUUGAAAAUUCCUCCUUCGCCUUGUCCUUUUCAACCAUCUCGUAAAGAUCUGGGACAGCAAUAUUAUUCGGGCUAUCACCGGGAUUAAAGCCCGCUCCGGGUUGAAAAUUCAUUGGGAUUGAAGCAUCGCCUUGGAACUGCUGGGGCCUAACCGACACAGAGGGUCUCCGCGGAUGCAGCUCAGUCUGUACUUGCGCAUGCGGAUGCGUGAAACCUAGAGGAUAAAGUGGUUCACCAUUGUUUUCUUCUUCACUAACAAUCACAGGACCUUUACCCUUAUCUACUCCCUUCAAUAAUUGCGUCAUCUUAGCCACCAGAUCAUUUUGGGACUCCUCCAUCUUUUGCACCAUGUCACGCUGAAUCUUUUCUAUUUGCUCUUUCAUUUGCGCCUGCAACUGGUCUUGCAUUUCUUUUUGAAGUCGCUCUAGCUUCUCCAACCUUUGGUCCAUAAUUUUUGUCUUAGCUCGGGUGCCGUAACUUUGUUGGUUUUCCAGGUUAACUGAAAUGAUUUUAUUCGAUUAGGUUUUUAAUGGUCAUUAAUGCAUAUGAUGUGAUGCAAUGCAUGAAAAGAAUGCAAAGAAAAAGAGGCACUGAUUCUAAUUCAACUUCAUUAGAAAACUUUACUAGAUAAAGAGUUUCUUUACAUAAAAUAGACUACAUAUAUGGCUUUGCCCUUACACUCAAAGCCUUAACCUUUCUAAGAAGCCAAGCUAACUCUCGGCCCCUGUUCGACACUAACUCAUACUUCAAACUUAAUAGAUCAGCCUGAACCGCUAGAGUUUACAGAUGAUCAGCUACUUCGCGCACUUGAGUCACCGCCUCUCCCAUAAUAUAAUCUCUUUCUCCAAUCUGCUCUUGAGACCGACGGAAUUGUCUUUGCCACUGCUCAUUACUUUCUUCCAGAAGCUCUAUCUGGAUUUCACUAUUUUGCAAUGCAUUCUCUAGCCCUCCUAUUUGUCUUUUUAAUUCUUCAAUUUUGUCUAAGCUCGCCCUUAAUUCAACCGUAGCAUUACGAUUACAGUACUGGUGAAGCGACCUUUCUAGUUCAGUUAUCCGGACCUUCAACUCCGUCUUCUCGUCUUGGCAAACUAGUAGACUCUUUCCCAAGGCGACUUCUCGAGCCCGAGUAUCCUGAAAUUUCUUUUCCCAUUGAUUAGCUUUCAUCUUUUCCUCCUGAAUUUCUUGUCGCCAUUGUUCUGGCGUUUUACCCAAGCCAGCAGCUCUUACCGACCUACGCAACUUCUUGUAAUCUGUCUUCAGGCUGUCCAAAUCUUCUUCUGCUUUGUUCUUUCCUUUUCUCAAUUUAUCGGCCUCUAACCUUUGAAUGUCCACAUCCAGUCCUAACUGCAUUUUUUCUUCCUCUAGUUGUUCUAUUUUCUUCCCCAAUUCUAAACUCCUUUUUUCAAAUUCUUGUUUGAUGAUUUCUAUCUCAGAAGGCAAAACUUGUAAAUGUUCCUCCAAAGAUCGAGCAGUUUCUGGAUUUGACGCCGGGAUGUUGUCGUUGAUCCUUUGAUCACGCCACCGACCAUACUCGGGGGUAAUUGUCGGACCCACGGCUAAGAUCUUCAUUCGACGAGUCUGGUUCCAGGCACUAGAUAUUUCCCGAACCUUCUUCUUGUAAUUGUCCUCCCUAUAGGAAAAAUCAUAAUAGGCCAACCCCUGCGUUGCUGGUAUGAAUUAUCGUGAUCUAUACUGUCUUGAUACGAAUAGAGGAGCAUAUCCGAUAGCUCCCCAUAUCCCGAGCAGCGGAACCCAGUCAAAAUCUCCACAUUGGUACAAUAUCUCAUCAGGAAUUAACCAAGGAGCCCUCCAUUCAAUAUCUUCAUCCUGGAGAUUCUGGAGUAUCUCUAUCCAUUUUUCUUCUGAAAUAUCAUCCCGUCUUGGCGUGGCCACCAAUUCUCCUAGAGGGGAGUAGCUAUCAGAGAAUACCCGAUAAGAGACCUUUUCGACUUUCCAGAAGUGGCUAUGGAACCAUGCCAAUAAAAGCUGCGCGCAUCCAAUAAACCUUCUCUCCCCUGCUUUUCGACACGCAUUCAAGGAUCUAAAAGUUUCAGCGAGUAUUGCCGGAACCGGCGUAACCCCUUUACUAAGCCGAUCAAACAAAUCAGAUACAGCCUCGUCUAUGUGUCCUAAAGCUUUGGGGAAAACCACUAGUCCAUAGAUACCUAAAGCGAAGACAUCGACCCUUUUCUUUAAGUCAGGAUGUACAAGCACCAAAUCUCGCAAACUUUUCCAAGGAACACAAUUACUGUUGCCCUUCUGUUGGAUCCGGGCAGCGACCCACUGCUCGCUCAUCCCAGUGAUGUUCAUUAAUUUCUUUAACAACGGAGGGACACAAGCAGCUCUGGAAUAAGCCUUGUCGACUUGAAUCUUUGGGCACCGAAGCAAGGUCGUAUACUCCUCCACAGUAGGCGUCAAAUCUACCUUCCCAAAAGUGAAACAACUGUAGGCAGGAUUCCAAAACUGAGCAAGGGCUCGGAAUAAAUACUUGUCCACUUUGACACUAAGCAGAUAAGGUAGGUCACCGUAGUUACAAUAGAACAGCUGCUUGGCCUCGACAUCCCAUUGAUCCCAGACUUCUUUCAUUUCUCGAAGGUCAUUCUGGAUUACACUGAUACGGGUAAAAUCCCACAAUUCUGACACGUACCCUUCGGUAAGACUAUCGCCUUUCUCCCGUUGUGUCGUUUCAGCCCAUAUUCGCACAGCCGCAUUAUCCUCUACUUUAUCAACAAACCCCUUUUCCAUGAUAAGCUUUCUACCAAGAAACUGAACGUAAAUCGACACCUCUUUUAGAAUGAAGAUGCCAUGCAAUCACAAACAAAGUAAAUUAGCAUUAAACACAGAAUAAGAUUUAAAAUAAGCGACAAAUAAAUACAACAUUCAUUUAGGUAAGCACUAAAAAUUUGGAGUAGCUCUACCUAGGUCAGUUCCUAUGGCUCAUUACAUGUGGUUUGGUUCUAAAGUAGGGUACCUGAACCAGCAAAUUCCUCGAUCCUCACCCAUUAUAGGCUCAUACGGACCAAGUUCGAUUCAGGGGGAUACAUUUCCCUAUGGCCAUGCGGAGAUGAAAAUCUCACGAAGACAUAGGUACGGAUAUAUCCCGAAAGCGAUUCACUAUCCCAUGCGGAGGUGAAAACCUCACGAAGGCGUAGCUUCUCACUCCCACCUAAAAAGGUGUGACCAACGGUCAUGCAAUGCAAUGCGGAAAGAUACCAAAAUUUAAACAAAUAGAGCAAUUAUAAACCCCAAUGAUGAUGAUUAUGAUAAAGACAGAUAAAAUGCGAUGAAAGGAUCGUAAUUUUAAACCGAAUUUUCAAUUUUUGACAAAAGACAAAAAGUAAUCACCACGUGGCUUGACCCUCUUAUCGGUGUCCCCAGUGGAGUCGCCAAGCUGUUGGCGCCAUUUUUUUUGAUGAAAACGGGGUCGACUUGGGUUUUGAAAAAUGAAACGGGAGUCGCCACCAAUCCUUUUUUAUGAGGUGUGAUUGGAUCACCUUGAAAAGUGGUUGUUUUUAAUAAACGGUUUAGUUUUAUUAAAACAACGAUUUUGGUCCACAAAAUUCAAAAAAAUGGGUUCGGGAGUCGGUUACGCACGAGGAAGGAUUAGCACCCUCGAUACGCCCAAAAUUGGUACCUAAUUGAUUACUUAAUGUCUUAAUGUCGAAAACUUUGAAGAACUUUAAAAAAUACGAUCCUUAUAUUAAAAUAAAAAUUUUUGGGAAAAGUAGCAUAUUUCACGUUAAUCGAGAAAGAGAAUCAUAUCCAGUAAGUUAGGAUACAAUGUCUCAAAUUCCCAACACGCAAAUGAAAAAUGCUUAUUUAAAAGAUAUUUUAGCCAUCUCGGAUUUAAAAAUGAGAUCACGACCCGUAAGUUAGGACGCAAUUUUUUAAUCCCGAGAUCAUUUAAAAUUUGAGUUUAAAAAGAUUCGUCAUUUAGAUUUAUCGUGAAAAUCGAAACCCAGUAAGUUAAGAUACGAUCCUCUCGAAUCUAAAGACGAAAUAUUAUUUAUUCAAAACAAAUUAUGUUAUGUCGAGUAAAAUAAAACACUAAAAUCGUAGUAAAAAAAUGUGAAAGCAAUUUGCAUUGUUGUUAUUCAUGGCAAAAUCAUAAUGAAUACAAAAGUAUAAAAUGAUAUGAGCAAUAGCAACAAUAAUAAAUAAACGUUAGUCCUACAAUCAUAUAAAAUAACAAUGUAUAUAAACAAAUAAAUCAAAACUUUCAUUCAAAAUAAUAAUAAAAUGAAAUAAAUAGUGAACACAAAUAAAACGUAAAGGAAUAUAUAUAUGUAUAGAAAUGUAAAUUAAAAUAUGUGUGUAUACGUAAGUUACAAAAUAUAUGAAAUAUAUAUAAAGUAUAUUUUAAAAUAUAAAGAAAAAAUAAAUAUGUAUGAAGUGUAUGUAAGUAUAUAAAUAUGUAUAUAUAAUAAAGGUGUAUGAAAAUAUAUUUUAUAUACAUGUAUUUAUAAAAAAAUGCAUAUAGAUAUAUAUAGAUGGUUUUAAGCUAUGAAGUAUGAAAAAUAUGUACAUGUAUGAAUUAUAAAAUAUAUAAAAUAUGUACAUAUAUAUAUGUAAAAAUAUGUAUUUAUAUAUUUAUAAAGGUUAGAAAUAUGUACGUGUAUUAUAAAUAUAUAUGCAUAUAUAAAUAAAUUAUAAAAUAGGUAUGUUUAUAUGUAUAUAUAUAUAUAUUACAAAAAAAUGUGUAUAAGUAUAUGUAAAAAUAUAUAAUAAUAUAUGUAUAUAUCUAUAAAAGCAAUUAUAAUAAUAAUAAUAAUGCAAUAACAAUAAUAAUAUAAAAUUUGUAAAGAAAAUAAACAAAAUCACUAAAGGAUUAGAUUAAACAUUAAACAAGAUUCGGGGGGUUCAAAGCGCAAAUAAACGAAAGGGGAGGGAUUGCUCUGAACACGCAUGUAACAUGGAGGGACCAUCAAAGAAAAUUACCCUUCCUUUAAAACGGCGUAGUUCGAGUAAGGACGAAGUUGAAAAUACGAAAAAAUUUUGGGUAAAUUUAAAAGAUCAAAAGAACCUAAUUUAAAAAGCAUUAAAAAAGCGGAAGGGCUAAAGGUGCAAUUAGCCCUUCCGUCAAAAACACGCGGAUCCCUAGAUCAGACGGGUCGGGUCGCGGGUCGGAUCUCGGUUUAGACGCAAAACGGCGUCGUUUGAGGCCGAAUGAAACAGGCCAAAACGACGCCGUUUCAUUUAGGUAUUUAAACCAAUUUUUGUUUAAAAAAAUCAUUCAGCCCCAUUCCCCUUUUUAAAAAAACUAAAAACUUCUCAGUUCUCUCUCCCUCUUCCCCUUUCUUGAUCUCGGGUCCGGCCGAGGGCCACCUUGUCGGCCGUCGGAUCGCCGGUGCCAGUGACGCCGUACACGGUGGCCGGCGAGUGGAGAAAGGCGUGCCCUUAGAGAUGCCUAUCUCCUAAACCCGAAUCCGGCCUCAAAAUGACCAAAAACGAAUGGGAAAAGGCUGUUAGGCUUCUCUACAGUCGGUUUCCUCACCGGAGAAGGAGUUUCCGACGAGGAGGAAACAGCGACCCGCGGUGAGUCUCUUUUUUCUUUAUUUUAUGUUUUUUAUUUCGUUUAAAAAAUCAAAAUAAAAUAAAAUAAAUACAACGAAAAAAAGAAAAAGUAAAUAUUGCAAUCGAAAACCCAGGGAAUCACCUUGAAGCUUGAUAUUUUUUAUUAUUCUGUUGAAAUUUGUUUUCUUGGUUACAAAUCGAAAAAAGAAAAAGAAGCCCUUUUGAUUUUUUCAAUCGGCCUUAUAUAGCCAAACUACAAAAUAAAAAAUCUCCUUUUGCUAUCCGUAUUUGCUGUUGCUUGUUGGUGUUUGUUGCAGGUACUGGCGGAGCAGUUGGAGCAGGUGAGUCGGUGGCAAGUGGGCGUGGUGACGGCUGUGAACAGAGGGCAGGUGAGGAGGCCAGGAGCAGGUGCGGCACAACAGGGGGCUAGGGUUUCUGCUAGGUGUUUAUGUUUUGGGCUGAUUGGGUUAGGCUAGUUGGGCCUGGGUAGUUUUUAGGUUAAAAUUUGUUAUUGGGCCCUGGGUCAAAAAUUGGGCUUGUACAAUAAAAUUAUUUUUAAAAAAUAAAAAUUAUUAAAAAAUACAAAAACAAUAUUUUUAAUAGUUUAGAGAUGAAUUAAAUGCUAACAUGUCAUCUACUCAGCAAUCCACAUGUAUAACACGUCAUGAAAGUUAAUAAACAUUUAUUUUUUCAUCCACUCUGGAGUGGCUUGACAGAAAAUGUAAAUUCAAGUGUUAAAAGAAGCGAAAAUUUUAAUGGAGGGCUAAAAUGACUUGUUUUGUGAAGUUGGAGGGCCAAAAAAUAAUUAUGCCAAAACUAAAUGAUUAAUAGAAAACAAGGGGAAAUUUGCAUGCAUCUAUAUAAUUUUAUUUCAAACCAUUGUCAUUAUCUUGAGAUAUACAUUGGCAAACAUUCAUUGAAUAUACCUUGGGAAAAAAAAAUACUACAAGACAACGAAAUUAAAUAUCAUAAUCAAAUGUUGAAAAUGAAUGAUAAGAAAUUUAAAUUAAAAAUCAAACAUAGUAGGCUUGAUGUGCAAGCUAUCUGCAAUCUUUUUUUUUAAUUGUUUUAUUAUAUAGAUUUUAAUAUUUCUUACGUCUUUUAUCAGUCAAUUUGAACUGAUGCAUUCAUUUGUUUCAUUCAUAUGGUGUUGGAUCACAUUAAAAAAUAUAUACAAUUAAUUAAUCAUUUUUAGCUUAAUAAAAAAUAUAUAAUCUUGAUUGGUAUGAGUAUUAUUAUUAAUGUAAGAGGAUCUAGUUUUAAGUGUGCUUAAGCGCAUUAUCCUCCUAUUUAUGGGUUGAGGAGGGGUUAUGGGUAAUUUUAGGCAUUAUGUCAAAAAGAGCAUAUAUGAUCAGAACUUGUAAUGAAAUUAUUAAAAAAAAUGUAUAAACAUAAACAAUUUUGUUUACAUAAUUUUUAGAUAUAAAUGAGCUUUGGAUUCAAAUAAUUUUGUGUUGCUUGAGGUUUUCGGAUCUAUUUACUCUCAUUUAAGUUGUAAAGUUUUUACGAGAGGUAAAAUGUAAUUUCAUUAUUUUAAUAGCUUACGUCUUUAUAAUUAAUUAAAGGUUAAAUCAAAAUUUUAUUAUUUUUGAAAGCUAAUGUGUGAUUUUUACCAUGUAGUAAUUUUUAUAAUUUAUAAAAUUUAAAACACUAAAACAUAAACUUACCAUUUUAGGGUGCAGAGCCAGCCCCUAUAUUUUGAAUUUGAAGCAAUUUAAGUUUAAAUUUGUAAUUUUUUAUGAUUAAAUAAAAAUAAAAUAAGCUUUAUUUUAAAUUGAUCAAGUAAAAUUUAUCAAGUCAAAUUUUGAGUUAGAAAUCAAAAUUGUGAGGUUUACCUAUAUUAAGAAAAAUUAGCUACUAAAAAAUUGUUAAUAUAUAAAUUUGUGUGUUGGCUUGUUGGUCAGGGUAUUCAUCGCCCCAAAUGUGAUUUGGGUUCGAGUCGCGUUACUGUUAACGUUUUGUCAUCCUCUUGUAAUUUACUAAAAAAUUGUUAAUAUAUAUUAUAUAAAGAUAGUAAACUGUUGACUAACAUAAUGUCAUCAUUCAUAGAGGAAAAAAAAAGGCACAUUGAUCAUAUUUUCAGCCAUCCAUAAAAUAGCAGUAAAAUAAUUGACUUGAGAAAUAACACAUAAAAUCAUAUGAUAUAUUUGAUACACUGAGAGCAUUGAAGAGUCAUUUGAAUCAUCGUAAAAGACAAAGUAGACAAUUCAGUGACGAAAUUCUCAAUAUAUAUAACUACGAAAUUCCACACAAAAUUGUGAAAACAACGAAAAAUAUCUAAUAAAAAUAAACCAUUCAAACAAGACCGCUUGACUCUUUGAGUAAUGAAUUUUUUUUCACAAUUAAUUUAACAUGUUUUUCCAAUUUGAAUAGUAAACACUAUAGUUGCAAUUCAGUCAAUACUAGAAAUUUAUAUUUUAAACCCAUCGUUUAGAAUAUUCCAUUUUUUACAUUGGAAAUAACACAAAAGAUUCAAAGGAAAAAUAAGCAAAUUUCAUCAAAGGCGUCUAUUUGUAAUGGAAAAUUUAUAAUGUGGAUCCUUGUAUUAUAAACUAAAGAACAAAUUAACUCCUUAAGUAUAAAAGUGAGCAAUUUAGUCCUUUAGGUCUUUUCUCUUUUUUCUCCAAGCCGUUUGUUUCUUCUUUUUUGUUUUGCGUAGCAACGGUGGCAAUCUCCGGGCUGGCUACUGCCCACCUUUUGCUCCCUCCAUUCCAUAUGUUUUCUCUCUUUUCAAUUGAUACAUCUAUUUUGUAGGUAUCUUUGUUGCCUUCACAUGUUGUGAUGGACAGAUGAUGAUGCCUAUCGUCGCUGAAAUUACCCUGGCCAUCAACAGUUUCUCUAAGAAAGUGGGUGACUUUUAAUUGGCUCUUGAUCUAUUUUUGUUUGGAGAGUAUUUUAGAAUAAUAAAUAAUUUUACGAAUCAGUUUGGACCUCUAGUAUUUUAAGUCGUCACCAUUCAUUCCAUGAAUGGAAUCAUAUCAUUUAUGUAAAAGAUAAAACUUAAACAUGUCUUUAUAUUUGUAAAAACUUAACAAUAAGAAGGCUUGACUAUUUGAAUAAGUUAUUUUUCACAAUAUUUUCAAUUUGAAUUGUAAGUACUCCAUAGUUGUAUGAUUCAGUGAAUACUAGAAAUUUAUAUUCAAAACCCAUCAUUUAAAAUUUUCUGAUACAUUAGAAUUGAGAAGAAAAAUAUUUAGAGUAAGCAAAUUUCAGCAAUGGCGUCUAUAUUUAUAAUUGAAAGUUAUCAAUAAAAUUAAUAUCUUAUUUCUUUUUAAUAUUUUAUUGUGCAUGCGUAGUUUUACUAAUGGCAUUGAUAUCCCAGAAUUAAAAUAUUUCCAACAAGCAUGUGCUCUAUUGAUUGACUUUAAAGUCUCUAGAUUUUUAAAAUGAAUUUACUAAAAAAAUGAAAAAAAAUUAUUAGAAUUAAUUUUUAUUAAUUGAUAAUAAACUUAUGAAUAAUUAAGUAUUACAUUUUUAUUAAUUCCAAAUCAAACUUCUUUUUUUAUAUAAUACCUAAAACUACUUAUAAUCCCUUCCUAAUCCUUAAAUAAGAAAAUAAUGUGUUUCAACAUAUUCAAACCCACAUCUUCCUGCACUGACAGAUUAUAUAAAUUUAAAUAUUCAAUAUAUAUAUUUCUCUAAAACUGACAUGUUGAAAAAGGAAAUCACAACUAUAAAACAAUCAUCUUCAAAGUUUCAAUAAUAAAAUAAGUAUAAUACAAAUUUAAUGAUAAAUUCAUGAUGUGUUAGGAUAUAAAACUAAUAUUUUAAAAAAACGAUAUGAAAUUAUAAAUUCUAUUGUGAUUAUAGUAUAUUUAUAAAUGAAUGUUGGGAUAAUUAUAAAAUGGAAUUAAAUUAAUAUAAAAUACAUUAAAAAUUAAAAUAAUUAAAACUAAAAUUGAUUCAUUGGACAAAAAUAUACACUUAACAACGACGCAUUAUAAAAGUAAAGAUCUAGAUAUGAUAAUUGCAUAUAAUAAAAUUUAAAUAUAAAUAUAAAAUACUUAAAAAUUUCAACCAACAAUAUCUUCGUUAAAAUUAUAAAUUCGCUUGAUUAUUUUCCUUUGAUUUAACACAUCUUCUUUUGGUAGCCGUCUGUACCUGACUCGACCAGUUAACCCACAAAACAUUUUACAUGUACAAUAAUGACACAAUUUCGCUCAGGCCUAAUUUACAUAUAAAUACAAAAUUACAAAUCCAAAUAAAAAUAUUACAAGCCCAAAUGUAAAAAGGAAGCCCAGUGGCCCAAAAAACUUAAACAUUUUCAGAAGGACAGAAACCUUAGCCAGCGCGCCGCCCUCUCUGCUUUGCCAGCGGUUUCGUUGCCUGAGGUUUGACGCCUCAUCUGCCAGUUGUCGCCAUCGACUAGGGACACUUGCAAAAAAGGAAGAACAAGGACAGAAGCACAACACCCAAGAAAAAACAGUAGAAACAGUAGAAAAACAGUAAAAAAGAGAGUGUAAUUCGACUAUAAAAGCCAUGACUUUUAUGUAUUUCUUUACAAGAAAAAAAGGAAUAAAAAACAGAACACAAAGAAAACAUUUUUAAAGGUGAUUUUCUUCAUUUUUUUAUCUGUUAUUUUUAGAAAAAAAACAUAAAACAUAAAAUCAAAAAAACUUACUGAGCCGUUUCAUGUUCCACCGCCGCGAGUAGACGAGGACACCGUCCGCGAUGACGGACGGCUCCCUUCGGUGAGACCUCCGAGUCACUUCUGUUUUGUCUAAGGACCACGGCGGAGAAAACCAAGGGGUUGUUCAGAUUUUUUUUAAUUUUUUGUUGGGUUUUGGAAAGUACUGACCCCGGAUUCGGGCUCAAGAAGCCGUAACGGCCAAAAAAUGGUUGCUUGUAGAUUCUAGCCACCGGGAACAGUGAAAUCAUCGCCGGCGCCAGGGGCAAACGUGGAAAACCGAGAGAGAAAAAAAGACUCAGUUUUUUUAAGAAAAACUAAACAUAAUGAUUUUUUUUUUUAAUUUGGCUUAUAUAGGCGAGGCUAAACGACGUCGUUUAAAGCUGGCUUCAAUAGCCCCAAAACGACGUCAUUUUGAAACAUGACCCGAAUACAAACAGGAUCCGCAUGUUUUCUUAAGAAAGGGUCUAAUUUUUACUUCAGUCCUUCUGCUUUUUAAUUGAUUUUCAAUCUAGUCCUAUUUCUUUUUUUUUAAUUUUUGCCCAGUGAUUUUGUUUCUUUUUAGUCCCUCAUGGAACGGUGUGUUUGCGGGCCUGGGAAUAAUUUCCUAGUUGGUCCGUCCUUGUAAUACCCCAAAAAUUACUACAGGAAUAAAGUAAUAUAGUAUCCUUGAUAUAGUAAAAUCAGGAAAUAAAGUGACAAAAAGGGAAAUUUUGAGUUAUGUCAACAUUGGGAAGUAUAUUAUGACAUAUUAAUGCAAAAAAAGAUUAAAUCGCAAAAGUGAGAAAAGUUUUGUUGCCCAAGAGUAAAUACUCAAAAAUUGAGGGGUUAAAGUGUAAAUAUAAAAAAGUUCAAAGACCAAUAGUGAAAAUAUUUUAAGGGUGGAAUGAUAUAGAAAAUAAGGAAAAUGGAUGAAUUAUGACCAAAUUGAAUAGGUGAAGAAUUAUGAUGGACUAAAUCAUAAUUUUACCAAAUUAAGUGAUGACUCAAUGAUGGAAUUUUAAAAGAUCAUGAAGGGCAAAAUGGUCAAUUAGAAAGAGAGAGAACUCUAAAAGGUAAUGAUGAUGUUGGUGAUAUUUUUAAUUAAUUAAUUAGAUAAAUGUUAUUUAAUUAAUAUUUUAUUUAGAUUUUUAGUAUUAUUUUCUUUAUAAUUUGGUUAUUUUACCAAAAAUUCACCAUUUUCACUUAGAAAUCAAAAGAAUUUCUAUAGCUACCAAGANNNNNNNNNNNNNNNNNNNNNNNNNNNNNNNNNNNNNNNNNNNNNNNNNNNNNNNNNNNNNNNNNNNNNNNNNNNNNNNNNNNNNNNNNNNNNNNNNNNNNNNNNNNNNNNNNNNNNNNNNNNNNNNNNNNNNNNNNNNNNNNNNNNNNNNNNNNNNNNNNNNNNNNNNNNNNNNNNNNNNNNNNNNNNNNNNNNNNNNNNNNNNNNNNNNNNNNNNNNNNNNNNNNNNNNNNNNNNNNNNNNNNNNNNNNNNNNNNNNNNNNNNNNNNNNNNNNNNNNNNNNNNNNNNNNNNNNNNNNNNNNNNNNNNNNNNNNNNNNNNNNNNNNNNNNNNNNNNNNNNNNNNNNNNNNNNNNNNNNNNNNNNNNNNNNNNNNNNNNNNNNNNNNNNNNNNNNNNNNNNNNNNNNNNNNNNNNNNNNNNNNNNNNNNNNNNNNNNNNNNNNNNNNNNNNNNNNNNNNNNNNNNNNNNNNNNNNNNNNNNNNNNNNNNNNNNNNNNNNNGGCUUUAGUAGAACCUCUUCCUCCGGAUGGUAUUUCAUCAUCACUGAAGAAGAUAAAAUUGUCAGCACCAAUAUUGUUGAUCAGCCGAUCCAGCUUGUUUACCGAAAUAUCGUCAGCCACAUAUGUUUCGUUUAGCACCUUUAAUAGUGCAUUCCGAUGUACUUCUGAGUUUAAGAGUAAAGCUAAUACAGAAAUGCGGGCUGGCUGUUUGUGCAGUUGCUCCGCAACACUGUAUUCACUGUGUUUCAAAACUUCAAAAACUCCUUUGCCUCCUCUUCUUUUAUUGGUUCAUUUACCAAUGGUUCAACUUCUACUGCUUUCCCUUUCCUCUGUUCUUUCUUCCAAUUCUCUUCCCUGGACGACUCUGCUUGAGCAUCAUAUCUUUUUCCAUUGCGCGUGUAAGAACCUAUUUCCUGAUUUCUUUCUGCUUCUUUUCCCAAAAUGGUCACAUUGCACCGUAAUUCCACGGCACCAUUUUGUUAUCCCUAUAAGAGAAAUUUGAUGGUUUCUGGAUUACAAUUUUUGGUGUUACCUGAGCCCUAACCUCAUUACCCUUAGGGCGUGAGAUAAUGACCACAGGAUGAUUUAUUUUUGGAGCCUUUGUUCCCAACUCUGUCGCGCAUAUGCUCCUCAUUUCUUUCGCAUCUUCGUAAAACCUCAUCUCCUUGUUAUCCAUCAUGCUUUGAACCAAAGCCUUAAAUCCUUCACAUUCUUGGAUUUCGUGCCCUGUUUUAUGGUGAAAUUCACAAUAAUUUCCCAUCUCAUGCCCUUCCUCAGAAUCUGAAAUAACCAAACCUCUUUUCGCCAUUUCUUUCCAGACCCGUUUCAAUGGAGUUUUUACUUCAGCAAUGUCAGUCUUGACUUCUUCUCCCGUACCUUCGCUAACCAUAUUCACCCCCUUAUCUGCGUGAUUAGGUAACGGAUUCUUUGCGUUAGGUGAGUCGUCAAGUUUGACAACACCUAAAUUGAUAAGUCCUUCUACUACCUUCUUGAAGGCCGUACAAUUUUCUAUCGAGUGCCCAGAAAUUCCCGCAUGAUAAUCACAUUGCGCGUUCGUAUCAUACCAUUUUGGAUACGACUCAAGUAACGCAACAACAUGUGCAUCGAAUAAAGUCUGAUACAACUCCUUGUAUGACAUCGGGAUUGGCGUGAAUUGGGGCUUUUCAGUAGUUUGCCUAGCUCCCGACUCUUGUCUUGAUGAUCCCUGUUGAUUAGCAACCACUUUCUUUGGUUGAUUCACGGUAAUUGACCUACCAUAAGCAUUCACAUUAUUCACUUCAUUUUCUCUUUUCCUCAGGGGUGCCCUCCUAUUAUUUCUCUCCAUCUUAUUUUUCCACUUUUAAUGGCCUAUGCUCAAUCCUUUCAACGUUCAUGAUUAUAUCCGAGAAAUUUUUUGAAGCGCUUCCCAACAUGUGAGUGAUGAACGGGGCUUUCAAAGUAUUAAUAAAAAGCGUCGUCAUCUCUUUUUCCAAAAGCAGUGGUUGCACCUGAACCGCCACCCUCUCGCCACCUCUGCGCAUAUUUCUGAAGCUUUCGUUCGAUUUCUUCUCUAAAUUUUGCAGAGUUAUCCUGUCAGGUAUCAUUCUGAGGACAUGAUUGUAUUGUCUCAGGAAAGCCUGUGCUAAAUCCCUCCAAGUAGCAAUUUUAGCUCGGCUCAGCUGAUUGUACCACUUUGACGCCGCUCCCGUAAGACUUUCCUGAAAGCAAUGUAUUAAUAAUUGAUCAUUAUUAAUAUGCCCCGUCAUUCUUCUACAAAACAUAGUAAUAUGGGAUCCUGGGCAACUAGUCCCGUUGUAUUUCUCAAAUUCCGGCAUCUUAAAUUUGUAAGGGAGCACCAAGUCCGGAACCAAGCUCAGAUCCUUUGCAUCUAUUCCAUAGCUUCGAUGCUUUCUAUUGCCCUAAACUUCUCUUCUAUCCAUUUCCAUUUCUCCUCAAAUUGUUUUGAAAAUUCCUCCUUCGCCUUGUCCUUUUCAACCAUCUCGUAAAGAUCUGGGACAGCAAUAUUAUUCGGGCUAUCACCGGGAUUAAAGCCCGCUCCGGGUUGAAAAUUCAUUGGGAUUGAAGCAUCGCCUUGGAACUGCUGGGGCCUAACCGACACAGAGGGUCUCCGCGGAUGCAGCUCAGUCUGUACUUGCGCAUGCGGAUGCGUGAAACCUAGAGGAUAAAGUGGUUCACCAUUGUUUUCUUCUUCACUAACAAUCACAGGACCUUUACCCUUAUCUACUCCCUUCAAUAAUUGCGUCAUCUUAGCCACCAGAUCAUUUUGGGACUCCUCCAUCUUUUGCACCAUGUCACGCUGAAUCUUUUCUAUUUGCUCUUUCAUUUGCGCCUGCAACUGGUCUUGCAUUUCUUUUUGAAGUCGCUCUAGCUUCUCCAACCUUUGGUCCAUAAUUUUUGUCUUAGCUCGGGUGCCGUAACUUUGUUGGUUUUCCAGGUUAACUGAAAUGAUUUUAUUCGAUUAGGUUUUUAAUGGUCAUUAAUGCAUAUGAUGUGAUGCAAUGCAUGAAAAGAAUGCAAAGAAAAAGAGGCACUGAUUCUAAUUCAACUUCAUUAGAAAACUUUACUAGAUAAAGAGUUUCUUUACAUAAAAUAGACUACAUAUAUGGCUUUGCCCUUACACUCAAAGCCUUAACCUUUCUAAGAAGCCAAGCUAACUCUCGGCCCCUGUUCGACACUAACUCAUACUUCAAACUUAAUAGAUCAGCCUGAACCGCUAGAGUUUACAGAUGAUCAGCUACUUCGCGCACUUGAGUCACCGCCUCUCCCAUAAUAUAAUCUCUUUCUCCAAUCUGCUCUUGAGACCGACGGAAUUGUCUUUGCCACUGCUCAUUACUUUCUUCCAGAAGCUCUAUCUGGAUUUCACUAUUUUGCAAUGCAUUCUCUAGCCCUCCUAUUUGUCUUUUUAAUCUUCAAUUUUGUCUAAGCUCGCCCUUAAUUCAACCGUAGCAUUACGAUUACAGUACUGGUGAAGCGACCUUUCUAGUUCAGUUAUCCGGACCUUCAACUCCGUCUUCUCGUCUUGGCAAACUAGUAGACUCUUUCCCAAGGCGACUUCUCGAGCCCGAGUAUCCUGAAAUUUCUUUUCCCAUUGAUUAGCUUUCAUCUUUUCCUCCUGAAUUUCUUGUCGCCAUUGUUCUGGCGUUUUACCCAAGCCAGCAGCUCUUACCGACCUACGCAACUUCUUGUAAUCUGUCUUCAGGCUGUCCAAAUCUUCUUCUGCUUUGUUCUUUCCUUUUCUCAAUUUAUCGGCCUCUAACCUUUGAAUGUCCACAUCCAGUCCUAACUGCAUUUUUUCUUCCUCUAGUUGUUCUAUUUUCUUCCCCAAUUCUAAACUCCUUUUUUCAAAUUCUUGUUUGAUGAUUUCUAUCUCAGAAGGCAAAACUUGUAAAUGUUCCUCCAAAGAUCGAGCAGUUUCUGGAUUUGACGCCGGGAUGUUGUCGUUGAUCCUUUGAUCACGCCACCGACCAUACUCGGGGGUAAUUGUCGGACCCACGGCUAAGAUCUUCAUUCGACGAGUCUGGUUCCAGGCACUAGAUAUUUCCCGAACCUUCUUCUUGUAAUUGUCCUCCCUAUAGGAAAAAUCAUAAUAGGCCAACCCCUGCGUUGCUGGUAUGAAUUAUCGUGAUCUAUACUGUCUUGAUACGAAUAGAGGAGCAUAUCCGAUAGCUCCCCAUAUCCCGAGCAGCGGAACCCAGUCAAAAUCUCCACAUUGGUACAAUAUCUCAUCAGGAAUUAACCAAGGAGCCCUCCAUUCAAUAUCUUCAUCCUGGAGAUUCUGGAGUAUCUCUAUCCAUUUUUCUUCUGAAAUAUCAUCCCGUCUUGGCGUGGCCACCAAUUCUCCUAGAGGGGAGUAGCUAUCAGAGAAUACCCGAUAAGAGACCUUUUCGACUUUCCAGAAGUGGCUAUGGAACCAUGCCAAUAAAAGCUGCGCGCAUCCAAUAAACCUUCUCUCCCCUGCUUUUCGACACGCAUUCAAGGAUCUAAAAGUUUCAGCGAGUAUUGCCGGAACCGGCGUAACCCCUUUACUAAGCCGAUCAAACAAAUCAGAUACAGCCUCGUCUAUGUGUCCUAAAGCUUUGGGGAAAACCACUAGUCCAUAGAUACCUAAAGCGAAGACAUCGACCCUUUUCUUUAAGUCAGGAUGUACAAGCACCAAAUCUCGCAAACUUUUCCAAGGAACACAAUUACUGUUGCCCUUCUGUUGGAUCCGGGCAGCGACCCACUGCUCGCUCAUCCCAGUGAUGUUCAUUAAUUUCUUUAACAACGGAGGGACACAAGCAGCUCUGGAAUAAGCCUUGUCGACUUGAAUCUUUGGGCACCGAAGCAAGGUCGUAUACUCCUCCACAGUAGGCGUCAAAUCUACCUUCCCAAAAGUGAAACAACUGUAGGCAGGAUUCCAAAACUGAGCAAGGGCUCGGAAUAAAUACUUGUCCACUUUGACACUAAGCAGAUAAGGUAGGUCACCGUAGUUACAAUAGAACAGCUGCUUGGCCUCGACAUCCCAUUGAUCCCAGACUUCUUUCAUUUCUCGAAGGUCAUUCUGGAUUACACUGAUACGGGUAAAAUCCCACAAUUCUGACACGUACCCUUCGGUAAGACUAUCGCCUUUCUCCCGUUGUGUCGUUUCAGCCCAUAUUCGCACAGCCGCAUUAUCCUCUACUUUAUCAACAAACCCCUUUUCCAUGAUAAGCUUUCUACCAAGAAACUGAACGUAAAUCGACACCUCUUUUAGAAUGAAGAUGCCAUGCAAUCACAAACAAAGUAAAUUAGCAUUAAACACAGAAUAAGAUUUAAAAUAAGCGACAAAUAAAUACAACAUUCAUUUAGGUAAGCACUAAAAAUUUGGAGUAGCUCUACCUAGGUCAGUUCCUAUGGCUCAUUACAUGUGGUUUGGUUCUAAAGUAGGGUACCUGAACCAGCAAAUUCCUCGAUCCUCACCCAUUAUAGGCUCAUACGGACCAAGUUCGAUUCAGGGGGAUACAUUUCCCUAUGGCCAUGCGGAGAUGAAAAUCUCACGAAGACAUAGGUACGGAUAUAUCCCGAAAGCGAUUCACUAUCCCAUGCGGAGGUGAAAACCUCACGAAGGCGUAGCUUCUCACUCCCACCUAAAAAGGUGUGACCAACGGUCAUGCAAUGCAAUGCGGAAAGAUACCAAAAUUUAAACAAAUAGAGCAAUUAUAAACCCCAAUGAUGAUGAUUAUGAUAAAGACAGAUAAAAUGCGAUGAAAGGAUCGUAAUUUUAAACCGAAUUUUCAAUUUUUGACAAAAGACAAAAAGUAAUCACCACGUGGCUUGACCCUCUUAUCGGUGUCCCCAGUGGAGUCGCCAAGCUGUUGGCGCCAUUUUUUUUGAUGAAAACGGGGUCGACUUGGGUUUUGAAAAAUGAAACGGGAGUCGCCACCAAUCCUUUUUUAUGAGGUGUGAUUGGAUCACCUUGAAAAGUGGUUGUUUUUAAUAAACGGUUUAGUUUUAUUAAAACAACGAUUUUGGUCCACAAAAUUCAAAAAAAUGGGUUCGGGAGUCGGUUACGCACGAGGAAGGAUUAGCACCCUCGAUACGCCCAAAAUUGGUACCUAAUUGAUUACUUAAUGUCUUAAUGUCGAAAACUUUGAAGAACUUUAAAAAAUACGAUCCUUAUAUUAAAAUAAAAAUUUUUGGGAAAAGUAGCAUAUUUCACGUUAAUCGAGAAAGAGAAUCAUAUCCAGUAAGUUAGGAUACAAUGUCUCAAAUUCCCAACACGCAAAUGAAAAAUGCUUAUUUAAAAGAUAUUUUAGCCAUCUCGGAUUUAAAAAUGAGAUCACGACCCGUAAGUUAGGACGCAAUUUUUUAAUCCCGAGAUCAUUUAAAAUUUGAGUUUAAAAAGAUUCGUCAUUUAGAUUUAUCGUGAAAAUCGAAACCCAGUAAGUUAAGAUACGAUCCUCUCGAAUCUAAAGACGAAAUAUUAUUUAUUCAAAACAAAUUAUGUUAUGUCGAGUAAAAUAAAACACUAAAAUCGUAGUAAAAAAAUGUGAAAGCAAUUUGCAUUGUUGUUAUUCAUGGCAAAAUCAUAAUGAAUACAAAAGUAUAAAAUGAUAUGAGCAAUAGCAACAAUAAUAAAUAAACGUUAGUCCUACAAUCAUAUAAAAUAACAAUGUAUAUAAACAAAUAAAUCAAAACUUUCAUUCAAAAUAAUAAUAAAAUGAAAUAAAUAGUGAACACAAAUAAAACGUAAAGGAAUAUAUAUAUGUAUAGAAAUGUAAAUUAAAAUAUGUGUGUAUACGUAAGUUACAAAAUAUAUGAAAUAUAUAUAAAGUAUAUUUUAAAAUAUAAAGAAAAAAUAAAUAUGUAUGAAGUGUAUGUAAGUAUAUAAAUAUGUAUAUAUAAUAAAGGUGUAUGAAAAUAUAUUUUAUAUACAUGUAUUUAUAAAAAAAUGCAUAUAGAUAUAUAUAGAUGGUUUUAAGCUAUGAAGUAUGAAAAAUAUGUACAUGUAUGAAUUAUAAAAUAUAUAAAUAUGUACAUAUAUAUAUGUAAAAAUAUGUAUUUAUAUAUUUAUAAAGGUUAGAAAUAUGUACGUGUAUUAUAAAUAUAUAUGCAUAUAUAAAUAAAUUAUAAAAUAGGUAUGUUUAUAUGUAUAUAUAUAUAUAUUACAAAAAAAUGUGUAUAAGUAUAUGUAAAAAUAUAUAAUAAUAUAUGUAUAUAUCUAUAAAAGCAAUUAUAAUAAUAAUAAUAAUGCAAUAACAAUAAUAAUAUAAAAUUUGUAAAGAAAAUAAACAAAUCACUAAAGGAUUAGAUUAAACAUUAAACAAGAUUCGGGGGGUUCAAAGCGCAAAUAAACGAAAGGGGAGGGAUUGCUCUGAACACGCAUGUAACAUGGAGGGACCAUCAAAGAAAUUACCCUUCCUUUAAAACGGCGUAGUUCGAGUAAGGACGAAGUUGAAAAUACGAAAAAAUUUUGGGUAAAUUUAAAAGAUCAAAAGAACCUAAUUUAAAAAGCAUUAAAAAAGCGGAAGGGCUAAAGGUGCAAUUAGCCCUUCCGUCAAAAACACGCGGAUCCCUAGAUCAGACGGGUCGGGUCGCGGGUCGGAUCUCGGUUUAGACGCAAAACGGCGUCGUUUGAGGCCGAAUGAAACAGGCCAAAACGACGCCGUUUCAUUUAGGUAUUUAAACCAAUUUUUGUUUAAAAAAAUCAUUCAGCCCCAUUCCCCUUUUUUAAAAAAACUAAAAACUUCUCAGUUCUCUCUCCCUCUUCCCCUUUCUUGAUCUCGGGUCCGGCCGAGGGCCACCUUGUCGGCCGUCGGAUCGCCGGUGCCAGUGACGCCGUACACGGUGGCCGGCGAGUGGAGAAAGGCGUUGCCCUUAGAGAUGCCUAUCUCCUAAACCCGAAUCCGGCCUCAAAAUGACCAAAAACGAAUGGGAAAAGGCUGUUAGGCUUCUCUACAGUCGGUUUCCUCACCGGAGAAGGAGUUUCCGACGAGGAGGAAACAGCGACCCGCGGUGAGUCUCUUUUUUCUUUAUUUUAUGUUUUUUAUUUCGUUUAAAAAAUCAAAAUAAAAUAAAAUAAAUACAACGAAAAAAAGAAAAAGUAAAUAUUGCAAUCGAAAACCCAGGGAAUCACCUUGAAGCUUGAUAUUUUUUAUUAUUCUGUUGAAAUUUGUUUUCUUGGUUACAAAUCGAAAAAAGAAAAAGAAGCCCUUUUGAUUUUUUCAAUCGGCCUUAUAUAGCCAAACUACAAAAUAAAAAAUCUCCUUUUGCUAUCCGUAUUUGCUGUUGCUUGUUGGUGUUUGUUGCAGGUACUGGCGGAGCAGUUGGAGCAGGUGAGUCGGUGGCAAGUGGGCGUGGUGACGGCUGUGAACAGAGGGCAGGUGAGGAGGCCAGGAGCAGGUGCGGCACAACAGGGGGCUAGGGUUUCUGCUAGGUGUUUAUGUUUUGGGCUGAUUGGGUUAGGCUAGUUGGGCCUGGGUAGUUUUUAGGUUAAAAUUUGUUAUUGGGCCCUGGGUCAAAAAUUGGGCUUGUACAAUAAAAUUAUUUUUAAAAAAUAAAAAUUAUUAAAAAAUACAAAAACAAUAUUUUUAAUAGUUUAGAGAUGAAUUAAAUGCUAACAUGUCAUCUACUCAGCAAUCCACAUGUAUAACACGUCAUGAAAGUUAAUAAACAUUUAUUUUUUCAUCCACUCUGGAGUGGCUUGACAGAAAAUGUAAAUUCAAGUGUUAAAAGAAGCGAAAAUUUUAAUGGAGGGCUAAAAUGACUUGUUUUGUGAAGUUGGAGGGCCAAAAAAUAAUUAUGCCAAAACUAAAUGAUUAAUAGAAAACAAGGGGAAAUUUGCAUGCAUCUAUAUAAUUUUAUUUCAAACCAUUGUCAUUAUCUUGAGAUAUACAUUGGCAAACAUUCAUUGAAUAUACCUUGGGAAAAAAAAAUACUACAAGACAACGAAAUUAAAUAUCAUAAUCAAAUGUUGAAAAUGAAUGAUAAGAAAUUUAAAUUAAAAAUCAAACAUAGUAGGCUUGAUGUGCAAGCUAUCUGCAAUCUUUUUUUUUAAUUGUUUUAUUAUAUAGAUUUUAAUAUUUCUUACGUCUUUUAUCAGUCAAUUUGAACUGAUGCAUUCAUUUGUUUCAUUCAUAUGGUGUUGGAUCACAUUAAAAAAUAUAUACAAUUAAUUAAUCAUUUUUAGCUUAAUAAAAAAUAUAUAAUCUUGAUUGGUAUGAGUAUUAUUAUUAAUGUAAGAGGAUCUAGUUUUAAGUGUGCUUAAGCGCAUUAUCCUCCUAUUUAUGGGUUGAGGAGGGGUUAUGGGUAAUUUUAGGCAUUAUGUCAAAAAGAGCAUAUAUGAUCAGAACUUGUAAUGAAAUUAUUAAAAAAAAUGUAUAAACAUAAACAAUUUUGUUUACAUAAUUUUUAGAUAUAAAUGAGCUUUGGAUUCAAAUAAUUUUGUGUUGCUUGAGGUUUUCGGAUCUAUUUACUCUCAUUUAAGUUGUAAAGUUUUUACGAGAGGUAAAAUGUAAUUUCAUUAUUUUAAUAGCUUACGUCUUUAUAAUUAAUUAAAGGUUAAAUCAAAAUUUUAUUAUUUUUGAAAGCUAAUGUGUGAUUUUUACCAUGUAGUAAUUUUUAUAAUUUAUAAAAUUUAAAACACUAAAACAUAAACUUACCAUUUUAGGGUGCAGAGCCAGCCCCUAUAUUUUGAAUUUGAAGCAAUUUAAGUUUAAAUUUGUAAUUUUUUAUGAUUAAAUAAAAAUAAAAUAAGCUUUAUUUUAAAUUGAUCAAGUAAAAUUUAUCAAGUCAAAUUUUGAGUUAGAAAUCAAAAUUGUGAGGUUUACCUAUAUUAAGAAAAAUUAGCUACUAAAAAAUUGUUAAUAUAUAAAUUUGUGUGUUGGCUUGUUGGUCAGGGUAUUCAUCGCCCCAAAUGUGAUUUGGGUUCGAGUCGCGUUACUGUUAACGUUUUGUCAUCCUCUUGUAAUUUACUAAAAAAUUGUUAAUAUAUAUUAUAUAAAGAUAGUAAACUGUUGACUAACAUAAUGUCAUCAUUCAUAGAGGAAAAAAAAAGGCACAUUGAUCAUAUUUUCAGCCAUCCAUAAAAUAGCAGUAAAAUAAUUGACUUGAGAAAUAACACAUAAAAUCAUAUGAUAUAUUUGAUACACUGAGAGCAUUGAAGAGUCAUUUGAAUCAUCGUAAAAGACAAAGUAGACAAUUCAGUGACGAAAUUCUCAAUAUAUAUAACUACGAAAUUCCACACAAAAUUGUGAAAACAACGAAAAAUAUCUAAUAAAAAUAAACCAUUCAAACAAGACCGCUUGACUCUUUGAGUAAUGAAUUUUUUUUCACAAUUAAUUUAACAUGUUUUUCCAAUUUGAAUAGUAAACACUAUAGUUGCAAUUCAGUCAAUACUAGAAAUUUAUAUUUUAAACCCAUCGUUUAGAAUAUUCCAUUUUUUACAUUGGAAAUAACACAAAAGAUUCAAAGGAAAAAUAAGCAAAUUUCAUCAAAGGCGUCUAUUUGUAAUGGAAAAUUUAUAAUGUGGAUCCUUGUAUUAUAAACUAAAGAACAAAUUAACUCCUUAAGUAUAAAAGUGAGCAAUUUAGUCCUUUAGGUCUUUUCUCUUUUUUCUCCAAGCCGUUUGUUUCUUCUUUUUUGUUUUGCGUAGCAACGGUGGCAAUCUCCGGGCUGGCUACUGCCCACCUUUUGCUCCCUCCAUUCCAUAUGUUUUCUCUCUUUUCAAUUGAUACAUCUAUUUUGUAGGUAUCUUUGUUGCCUUCACAUGUUGUGAUGGACAGAUGAUGAUGCCUAUCGUCGCUGAAAUUACCCUGGCCAUCAACAGUUUCUCUAAGAAAGUGGGUGACUUUUAAUUGGCUCUUGAUCUAUUUUUGUUUGGAGAGUAUUUUAGAAUAAUAAAUAAUUUUACGAAUCAGUUUGGACCUCUAGUAUUUUAAGUCGUCACCAUUCAUUCCAUGAAUGGAAUCAUAUCAUUUAUGUAAAAGAUAAAACUUAAACAUGUCUUUAUAUUUGUAAAAACUUAACAAUAAGAAGGCUUGACUAUUUGAAUAAGUUAUUUUUCACAAUAUUUUCAAUUUGAAUUGUAAGUACUCCAUAGUUGUAUGAUUCAGUGAAUACUAGAAAUUUAUAUUCAAAACCCAUCAUUUAAAAUUUUCUGAUACAUUAGAAUUGAGAAGAAAAAUAUUUAGAGUAAGCAAAUUUCAGCAAUGGCGUCUAUAUUUAUAAUUGAAAGUUAUCAAUAAAAUUAAUAUCUUAUUUCUUUUUAAUAUUUUAUUGUGCAUGCGUAGUUUUACUAAUGGCAUUGAUAUCCCAGAAUUAAAAUAUUUCCAACAAGCAUGUGCUCUAUUGAUUGACUUUAAAGUCUCUAGAUUUUUAAAAUGAAUUUACUAAAAAAAUGAAAAAAAAUUAUUAGAAUUAAUUUUUAUUAAUUGAUAAUAAACUUAUGAAUAAUUAAGUAUUACAUUUUUAUUAAUUCCAAAUCAAACUUCUUUUUUUUAUAUAAUACCUAAAACUACUUAUAAUCCCUUCCUAAUCCUUAAAUAAGAAAAUAAUGUGUUUCAACAUAUUCAAACCCACAUCUUCCUGCACUGACAGAUUAUAUAAAUUUAAAUAUUCAAUAUAUAUAUUUCUCUAAAACUGACAUGUUGAAAAAGGAAAUCACAACUAUAAAACAAUCAUCUUCAAAGUUUCAAUAAUAAAAUAAGUAUAAUACAAAUUUAAUGAUAAAUUCAUGAUGUGUUAGGAUAUAAAACUAAUAUUUUAAAAAAACGAUAUGAAAUUAUAAAUUCUAUUGUGAUUAUAGUAUAUUUAUAAAUGAAUGUUGGGAUAAUUAUAAAAUGGAAUUAAAUUAAUAUAAAAUACAUUAAAAAUUAAAAUAAUUAAAACUAAAAUUGAUUCAUUGGACAAAAAUAUACACUUAACAACGACGCAUUAUAAAAGUAAAGAUCUAGAUAUGAUAAUUGCAUAUAAUAAAAUUUAAAUAUAAAUAUAAAAUACUUAAAAAUUUCAACCAACAAUAUCUUCGUUAAAAUUAUAAAUUCGCUUGAUUAUUUUCCUUUGAUUUAACACAUCUUCUUUUGGUAGCCGUCUGUACCUGACUCGACCAGUUAACCCACAAAACAUUUUACAUGUACAAUAAUGACACAAUUUCGCUCAGGCCUAAUUUACAUAUAAAUACAAAAUUACAAAUCCAAAUAAAAAUAUUACAAGCCCAAAUGUAAAAAGGAAGCCCAGUGGCCCAAAAAACUUAAACAUUUUCAGAAGGACAGAAACCUUAGCCAGCGCGCCGCCCUCUCUGCUUUGCCAGCGGUUUCGUUGCCUGAGGUUUGACGCCUCAUCUGCCAGUUGUCGCCAUCGACUAGGGACACUUGCAAAAAAGGAAGAACAAGGACAGAAGCACAACACCCAAGAAAAAACAGUAGAAACAGUAGAAAAACAGUAAAAAAGAGAGUGUAAUUCGACUAUAAAAGCCAUGACUUUUAUGUAUUUCUUUACAAGAAAAAAAGGAAUAAAAAACAGAACACAAAGAAAACAUUUUUAAAGGUGAUUUUCUUCAUUUUUUUAUCUGUUAUUUUUAGAAAAAAAACAUAAAACAUAAAAUCAAAAAAACUUACUGAGCCGUUUCAUGUUCCACCGCCGCGAGUAGACGAGGACACCGUCCGCGAUGACGGACGGCUCCCUUCGGUGAGACCUCCGAGUCACUUCUGUUUUGUCUAAGGACCACGGCGGAGAAAACCAAGGGGUUGUUCAGAUUUUUUUUAAUUUUUUGUUGGGUUUUGGAAAGUACUGACCCCGGAUUCGGGCUCAAGAAGCCGUAACGGCCAAAAAAUGGUUGCUUGUAGAUUCUAGCCACCGGGAACAGUGAAAUCAUCGCCGGCGCCAGGGGCAAACGUGGAAAACCGAGAGAGAAAAAAAGACUCAGUUUUUUUAAGAAAAACUAAACAUAAUGAUUUUUUUUUUUUAAUUUGGCUUAUAUAGGCGAGGCUAAACGACGUCGUUUAAAGCUGGCUUCAAUAGCCCCAAAACGACGUCAUUUUGAAACAUGACCCGAAUACAAACAGGAUCCGCAUGUUUUCUUAAGAAAGGGUCUAAUUUUUACUUCAGUCCUUCUGCUUUUUAAUUGAUUUUCAAUCUAGUCCUAUUUCUUUUUUUUUAAUUUUUGCCCAGUGAUUUUGUUUCUUUUUAGUCCCUCAUGGAACGGUGUGUUUGCGGGCCUGGGAAUAAUUUCCUAGUUGGUCCGUCCUUGUAAUACCCCAAAAAUUACUACAGGAAUAAAGUAAUAUAGUAUCCUUGAUAUAGUAAAAUCAGGAAAUAAAGUGACAAAAAGGGAAAUUUUGAGUUAUGUCAACAUUGGGAAGUAUAUUAUGACAUAUUAAUGCAAAAAAAGAUUAAAUCGCAAAAGUGAGAAAAGUUUUGUUGCCCAAGAGUAAAUACUCAAAAAUUGAGGGGUUAAAGUGUAAAUAUAAAAAAGUUCAAAGACCAAUAGUGAAAAUAUUUUAAGGGUGGAAUGAUAUAGAAAAUAAGGAAAAUGGAUGAAUUAUGACCAAAUUGAAUAGGUGAAGAAUUAUGAUGGACUAAAUCAUAAUUUUACCAAAUUAAGUGAUGACUCAAUGAUGGAAUUUUAAAAGAUCAUGAAGGGCAAAAUGGUCAAUUAGAAAGAGAGAGAACUCUAAAAGGUAAUGAUGAUGUUGGUGAUAUUUUUAAUUAAUUAAUUAGAUAAAUGUUAUUUAAUUAAUAUUUUAUUUAGAUUUUUAGUAUUAUUUUCUUUAUAAUUUGGUUAUUUUACCAAAAAUUCACCAUUUUCACUUAGAAAUCAAAAGAAUUUCUAUAGCUACCAAGAGAGAAAAAUAAUAAGGAGACAAUGGGGAACUAGAAUAUCAAGUUAGAUUCAAGAAAUAGAAGCUGGAGGAGAGAGAAAAUUAAGUUAAAGAUUGAAAUCAAUAGGACAAGGUAAGAACCUCAAAUUUCAAUAUAUUUUUUAGUUUGAUAUUAUUGAAAAAGUAUGAAAUUGAUGGCAAAGUAGAGUUUUAUUAUAUAAGAUUCUAUGUUCUUGAUAUUCUAGUGAAGGGAAAUAAGAGGAAGUGAUGGGAAAUAUUGUAGAGAAAGGAAAGAAGGGUGUUAUAAAUUUGGUUAUCAACAUUUUACACUAAAACAGUUUUGGACAACAGCAGUAGUCUGACUUUGAAAAUUCACCAAAAAACGUAGAAAUUGAAUUAGAGGUUAAUUAAAGUAUUAAAAUAAAUCCUAUUAAGUCUAGUUUUACAUGGAAGAAAUGAUGUAAGCAAAAGAAUUUCAUAUUAAGAGAUAUAUGAAUUUUUGUGAGACAGGGUCAGAUUGAUUUCGGGUUCCCCUGUUCUGACUUUGGAAAAUCAUCAAAAAAUUUUAAAAAAUAAUUAGGGGUUUAAAUUUAUUUUUUUAAAUUCUUGAUGAGUCUAUUUUCAAGAGAAACAAACAGAAACAUCAUCCAGACACCGUACUAAAAGAUAAUUAAUUUUUAGCAAGAAAAGGUCAAAGCUAUCAAACAGCAGAAUAUGGAUAAAUUUGAAGCAUUUACUGUACUUAUAGACUAAACUGUAAAUUCUAAAAAUUUUAUGGUGGAAAGAUAUUUGAGUCUAGUUUCAAAAACAUCAAUCAAAUCUUAAUUUAGAAUUCUGUAGCUCGAGAUAUAAAUAAAUUAUUGACCGUGAUUCAAGUGGACAGCUUUGAUAUGAACAUAAGUAAAUAGUAGAAUUAUAGAUAAUAUUACAUAUAAGCAUAAUAUAUACAUUAAGGAUGUGGAAUGGAGAGGAGGAGGAGGAGGAGGAGGAGGAGGAAAAUAUAUGAAUAUUCAACUAGCAUGAGUUUUCAUUAAAAAUGGCUAAUUUGCAUGUUUUAGGUUCAGAGACUAAAUUGAAUAAAAGUAAAAUUUUAAGGGUAAUUUUGUAAAAAUGUCAAAAAUGACCAAAUUGUAUGAAAUAAAUUUUUUUAUUAUUUAAAUUAAUAAAUUGAAUGAAAUAUUAAUUUAGAUCAAGAUUGAGUGGAAAAUCGAGGGAAAUGGAAAAUUACUAAAAUGCCUCUGUAUAUUGGUAUUUAUGCAAUUUGGGCUGGUAAGUUCGUAUGAACUAUAUUCUGUAUAAUUUUGAUUAAAGUGAAUGAUAUUUGGUGAUGGAUAUUAUAUAUAUGUGUGUUCAAUUGUUGGAAUUGAAUUUAAUACUCAGUUUGGAUUGAAUGCGGGAUUGACUACAAUCGUUCUGUGGCAAAGGAUGAAUUGACGGAUAAGACCAUAACUAGGUUAUGACACUAUGAACGUAAGACCAUGGUUGGACCAUGGCAGUGUUUUUAUGUAAGACCAUAGCUGGGCUAUAGCUUUCUAAUGAGACCAUAACUGGGUUAUGGCACCUUGAACGUAAGACCAUGGUUGGACCAUGGCAGUAUAGAUACAUGUGUAAGACCAUAGCUGGGUUAUGGCAUUCUAAUGAUAAGACCAUAAAUGGGUUAUGGCACUACAAAUGUAAGACCAUGGUAGGGCCAUGGCAAUGCAUGUGUAAGACCAUAGUUGGACUAUGGCACAAAAAGUAUAGCUAGACAAAAGAUUUUUUUUUUUUUUUUGCAUUUAAACUUCUGAAGUAUCUUUGAUGAAAGAGGUGGUGGAAAUAACGAUAGCUCCAAUGAAGAAGAAGACAAUGUCUUAUAUGACUCAAAAAUGGAAGUACCUAGGGAUGUUAAUACUAAAGUACUGAGAGCCAUUAAAGGAGAUUGGGUUUACAGUGAGUGUAAUUCACACCAACAUGCUAAGAACCACUAGAGGAAGUAAAUAGGUUUGGAGAUAUCUAGAGUUAUGAAUGAACUUAGACAAGGCUAUUAUGGAAAAUGAAUAUACCUCUUCUUAGAGAAAAAGGUAACUUUAUAUAGAGAUUUGUGUACAUCUUAUUGUGAUGGUGGUCUACCUCAGGCUCAGUUGUAAGGCCAAAAAAGCCCUGUUAGGCAAUGACAUGUGAUAGUGUAUGGAGUUUGUACUAAAGUUAUGGAGGGUCCUACUAGGAUGUGGUAGAAAGGACCUCUGAGUAGGCCCUAAUGAGACUCAGCACUGGGACUUGAUUUGACAAUGGCGCAUGUAAGGAGAUAAUUGAAAGCUUGAAUUUGGCAAGCCCUUUCAUGGGCGAGCCCUUCUAGAUAAAAUUGGUUGACUUAGGGCCAGAUUUUCAUUGCUUUUGAGAAGUGCUUCUGAGAAGUGCUUUUGAGAAGUGCUUUUUAGAAGUGCUUUUGAAAAAUUUGAGUGUUUGGCAUUGCUGUCAAAAAGUGCUUUUGAAGAAUAAAAUGUCCAUUUUAGACAUAAGAUUAUAAAGUAAUAAAUAUGUAUUUAAAUAAUGUUCAAAUUAGUUAAUAUUAUGGUAUUUUAGCAAAAAUAUAAAAAAAUAAUUUAUUAUAACUUAUUGUUAAUAUUUUAAUAUAUAAUAUCAAUUUUAAAUAUUUCUAAGUAAUUAAUAUUAAUUAUUUAGAAAUAUUUAAUUAGAAUAUAUAAACUAUAUUUAAAUAUUUAAAUAUAAAAAUUAAAUAUUUGUAAUUAGAUAUUUGAUGGGCUACUUUAACACUAAAAUUAAUCAAACAUAAUACUAUCUAACUAAAAUCUAAAAUCUAAUCACUAAAACCCAAUAUUAAACUUAGUAAUUCACUUAAAAAGAGCCUAAAACUAAGUGUGAAUUUAACUCUAAAACAUAUAUUAAUUAAACACCUAUCAAUUUCGUUCCAACUGUCAUUGUAAUGUAAUGUUAUAAUGUUUUUGUUCUAAUAUAUGACAAUGCACAUUGUUUAUCAUAUUUUUGUUCCGAUUUAAUGCACACUACCAUUUUAGUGUAAUGUUUGCCAAUAAUUGUUUCAAAAUGGUAUGAACUUUGGACCAAAAGAAUAAAAAAAGUUAUAUAAACAACAAUUCAAUAGAAAGCCGACAAAAUUAAUUGAAGUUGGUUCGAUUCGGUUAAUUAUUUUAACAGAAAAAAGGUCAAUUCAACUAACGGUUUAGUUAAUUAUAAUUCAAUUAACAAUGGAUCGAACUAACUAUUUCAUCACCCUUUAGAUUAAAUGUUUGAGAAUAUAAAACAAAAUACUUAGAAUUAUAAAAGAAAACAUAGUUUCAAUUGAACAAUUUAGCGUGCAAUGGAUACUAAGAUUCUAAUUUGAGGGUAAAAUAUGGAAUGCCCAUAUUGUAAUCUGUGGUGCUUUAUUAACUGCUGAUAUCUUUAACAACAUAAAGCUACAAUCCAGGGUCAAGGCGAGGCUUUCAAGGCAGCUUCUCCUAGUUUACCUCUGAGCAAGUGAUGGAUUGUAGGGUGCUCCCCAAACUGAGCUACGGACAGUUUGACUACCGGUUGCAACAAUAAACGUGAGGGAAGGUUAGAGCACAACUAGAUGGUUCUACUUUGGUUCUUAGUAUGAAUUUUCUGACAAAACUGCAAAUAAGCGGGAAAGGUUGCAUUAUUUCACAGGACAAGCUAGCCCAGCCUGAUGAUAAUACGUAAGUCGUGAAGAAGGUAGCCUGCAGACAAGAACAAUUUCAGUUAGAUGUAAUCCUGAAGAUACACAAUCACAUGCCAUAAAAAAGUGAGAAAAGCAAUCUGUCCUAUGUGAGUGCCUACAAAAGAGAGCGCUUAAUAGUGUAUUUCAUGCAUCUCAAUAGACCAAGGUAAAAUCUAAAUCUAAAUGCAUAUAACAACUUGCCAUGAAUGGAGGUGUUGAGGUUUUAUUAAACCAACAAUUGAGGACGCAUGGAAAGGUUACGUGGGUUGGCACUGCUCUGGCAAGUUGUUUAGGUGCAUCUUUAAAACUUGAGAAAACAGUCAAUUGCCUGAUGAUGGAUCCAGAAAGGACAUUAACAAAGAAAACAUUCCAAAUUGUGAAGUACAGAACUUUGAUGCAAGCACCCCAUUUCCUCUGACUACGUGAAAUAUUCCCCUCCAUUGUAGAAAACAACAUCAUGGUUGGUGGAACAGCAUACAGAAAUAAGAUUAGAAUCACACUUGGUAAGUAACCUGUUACCACCCGGUGUAUGAACUCCCUACAUAGCAGAAUAAACAAGAUAGAUUCACAAUGAGUGCCUGGUUCCUUCUCUUUUAAUUCCUUCAAGUUUCCACUUAAAAACAAUGAUAUUUGUCCUAUCUACAUGUAUUAAUACACACCAAGAGCUUGGGUGAGUUUAAUGCAGUUAAAUAGCAAUGACAUCACUAUAAUAAGUUGUAUCUGGCUAUUUAUGUACUCUAGAUUGUCUUUCAGAGCCUUCAAUCUAGACCUGUUCUCAGUAUGCGCCACAAGCAAUAGCAGAUAUAGGAGUAUUAACAGGGUUCACGAUUAUGGAUCUUUUCAUGCAGGUUUCUAUAUAGAGUUUGUUGCAUCAGGCAUCAGUCAUGACUGCAAUGUGAUAUGAAAGCAGCAUAAUUGAAAAAAAAAUAACAAGCUUAUACUGGUUUUGCAAUAGAGUUUGGGGAAUGAUACUCACUGUUUUUAAAUUCCUUUAAGAAAUGGAACUCUACGUGAUAGCUGGUCUAAGUGCUCUAGUUGAGUCAAGCCUUGCACAAAUGUAACAGGAAGAAGAAACAGGAAUUGAAAUGUUGAACCACUUCAAGAUGUUUUGAACUUAAAUUUGAGACUUAAUUACCUGAAAACAACUAUUCUCAUGAAAGCUACAGCAUCGUAACAUAAAUAGACUUAAUUACUCGGUUACUAACAUGAAAUUAAUUAAACAAAACAGCAACAGCAACAGACCCUUUAUGCUAACCGCAUUUCUUAAGAAAAAAGAAAUACCAAACAUAAAUAGAAAAAAGAAAGAAAAAAGAAGAAGAAGCAACAAAACAGCAACAACAACAGACAAGCUUUUUCUCUUAUCAGGGUACACAACAAACAUUCCCACAUUUCUUAAGAAAAAAGAAGAAGCAACAAAUGGAAUUGAUUGGGGAAGUUCAACAAACAGAAGGAGAGCAAAAUAAGACAAUGAGCAAAAUACCAAACAUAAAUAGAGUGUGUGCUUGGCUGCAUCUCUUUGAUCCCAGCUACUGUAAGCCUUUAUAUGUAACCAAAGCAAAGCACCGCCCCCACUUAUCUGACUCACCCACCCACCAGAACCUUCAGACCAUUUUGCAGACUUAUGAUAACACAGAUAAAAUAAAUCCUAAAGCCAAACAUGUGUAUGCCUUGUGAAAGUUACGGCACAAAAGAACAGAGUAUUUUAUAACAAUGAAGCAUGGCAAUCAAAUUCCAGCGAAAGAAAAUAUUAAACAGAAGAGGAACUAAUUAAACAGAAGAAGAAUUAUAAAAGAAACUCUCACCAGCGGAAGAGGAACAAAGAACAGAAAAUAGCUUUGAAAGCCGAAAAUGGGGAAAAGAAAUUGGGUAUAAAGCUCCAAUUUCACCAGCAGAGGGGAAAGAAAAUUUGGGGAACCAGCAGAGGGGAAAAAAACGUUUGGGGGAGAAUUUGGUCAAUAAUCAUCCAAAAGCAGUUAACGCUGAAGAAAAGGAGAAAAUUUUAGCUUCUCCAUCUAGAGAGAAGCACUUUUCUGAUGGAGAAUUUGUAAGAGAAAAGGAGGUUGUUCUUGGUUCCUUUUAAGAGAAAAGUGCUUUUUAGUGAAAAAGUGCUUUUCAAACGGGAAAAAGAACGGGCCCUUAGCGAGGUGUUUAAGUAUAAUAAUUUUCCUUUAAAAGUUGAGGAAGAGGUUAUAAAGUGGCUUUUCCCGAGAACUUUUUUUGGCGAGGUGCUCUCCUUUCGAUGAUGAUGUGAUGUGUUGUCUUUGGCAUGCCUAAAAAGGAGAUGUUGGACGGGUAGGUAUUUUGUUGGUGUACCUUUUUCAUGAUCUUAACAAGAUUAAAAAGGUGAGCUUAAGAGUCAAUUCUAAAGGGUGGGCUAGUAAUGGAAAGGCUUGAAUAGACAAAGGUAUGCUUGGCUAGGUGAGCUCGUUGAGGCAAGGCCUGAAAGUCUAUUUGAAAGGUGAACCUUUAUUGUAUGCAAUCUCGAAAGAUAAAGUUACGUUAAAGAAGAAAACAUCGUUGAAAGUGGAAACAACGGUGGUAGAUAGGCCAACAAAGAGGAAGAGCACGACAAGAUCACACUCCAAAGUUAUAGCGACAAAUUAGAGUAGAUUAUAUUUUCUAUUGCUAUAUAGUUAUUUCCUUUUGGGGGUUAAUAUUUUUCACAAAUAUUAUCUUUUUUUUCUUUUUAUUUUUUAUGGUUACUUCAUGUCGGGGAUAUAAUGUUUGAACGAGAAAUUUAUUACUUUCUUCAUUAUGUUAAUUAAUUUAUGAGUGGGGAAUUAAACGAAACGAUUUUUUCAAUUGAGUAUUUGAUUUCACAUUCUUCUCCAAUAAUAUCAUUCAAACAACUACUACAUUGAAAUAGACUAUUUAUUCUUUACAAUUACCUACAAAUUAGAUGAGUGUUAAUUCAUGUGGGCAUUUCAUAUUUGAUAUUAGUAAAUUGUAAAUUUGAAUAAAGGAAAACCUAUCUCUUAAGUGGUAAUUUUACUGGAUUCUUUUUACUAUUUUGAUCCCAUUUAUGAUAUUUGUUACUCUUCCUAUUCUCAUACUCUAUAUAUAUUCAUGAAUGCCAUUAAAUAAAUAAACAAUUAAAAGAAAAGAAAAUAUGAAACAGAAGAAAGCUUUUCUUGAAAAAAGAGCAGGACUUUGAUGGUAAAAAGGUAGAAAAAACUUCAUUGGAUUAAUAUAAGGUAGUGAGUACAAAUCUAAUCAAUUUGGACUUUUUCUUUAUAUGAUAUGUAUGAAUAUUAUAAAACAUUAUUACUUAAAAUUUAAUAUUUAUUCCUUAAGGAAAAAGCUUGAAGAGGAAAUUUUAAUAUAAUUUCAAACUGCGAUUGGUUCAAUCAGCAAUGAAGUAAUCCCACCCUUAGCUGCUUUUCCAACAUAUGUAUAGCCAUCUCCUUCACUGUAAAGCACAUCCAUCACCCUUGCAAGGUUUAGACUACGAUUUAAAACUUCUGUUGGCAUUUCUGUUGGUUUCAAAAACUCUUGAUUUACAUCCUUCCACGCACUCUCAACAUGCUUGUUGAAUACAUCAUAUGCCUCUUCUGCUGUUACGCCAUAUUCUUCCAUAUAACACUCGAUUGCUGAGCAAUCGUCUUCUCUCCUAUGCUUGAACUGCAACCAUAAUAAAAUCAAAAUUAUUCUAUCACUAUAUACCCUAAAACCUUUCAUAUUAUUAAACUAUAUUUGUUUAAAAUGAAACUAGAUUUAUUUUCUUAUUUUUCGAUUUAAGACUAAACAUUUGAUAUGUCAACAUUAAACUUUAAUUGUUUCAGAUCAUGAUAAAAACCAUCAUUUAAUUUUGUUACAAAGACAUUCAAUUAUUGAGCUAAGAGUUCAGUUUCUUGUGAUCAUAUAAAUAUAUUAUUAUACCUUGUGUUCAGCAACAUCAUCCAUAAACCUACAAAUUAUUGUGGAAGCUUGAAUGAUCUUAGGGUUAUUAGUUGCCCAUUUAAAGGUCUCUGGUGUUACGAUAUCUCCCAUGCCGACGAAAGAUGUAAUAGCAAGCAUUUCAUAACCACAAGUUGGCAAUGCAUUAGCCUUAAACUCCUCGAAUGAUGGUUUGUAGUUUUGAAGAGUCCAUUUGAACUCCACAAGGUAAGAUUGAGCAAGUCGUAUCAUCUAAGACAACAAAGUCUCAACAAUUAUCACUAAUAUCAAUUAAAAUUCAAUAAUAAUAUUUAAAUGAUUAUAUAUUGUUAUUCAAGUUAGUUGUUUAUUCAAAUCUAGAAUUUAGCUAAGAUCUUAUCUCUUUUGUAUAAAAUAAAUGUUUGCAAAUGUACAUACCGCAUUCUUCGCAUACUCGACACGAUAUUGUCUCCCAUUCUCAGCCACCAAUUGUAUCAUUUCUUCAUAAACAUCUAAUAGUGCCUUGUAGCUUGGUUUCAUAUAUUCAGGAAGUUCAUCUAUGCAUUUGAUAUCCCACCUGAAUCAAACCUCAACAUUAUAUUUGAUCAUUCCUCGUAAUAUAUACUUGAAUGUUCACUUGAACAAAAAAAACCUAACCUAUUACCAGCAAAAUUAAAGAAAUCUAACCUCUCAAUUGCAUUUGUAUAGGGAAUGAGCUCUUCAUAUGUUGCAUAUGAGUCAUAUGUAUCAUCUACAAUAGAUGUCAUUGCUAUCACUUUUGUCAACAUCUUUCUACCAAGUGAAUAUUGGGGCUCAAAGUACACUCCCGAGAUCCAAAAAUAACCUUCAACCACUCUAUCUCUUGCAUAUGGCAACUUUCUUUGAAAGUCUAAAUCCUUCCACCACCUAAAAAAUCAUAUUAUAAAAAACACCAUUAACGCAAUGACCAUACAAAGUUUUAAUUAGUUCCACACUCAUGUUGUCAAUGAGUAAAUUGUUAAACUCUUAAGUCAAUCGGGAACCUCAAAUUUUAAAAAUUAUAUAAGUAAAAUGAAAUAGGUGAAAAAGAUGAAUCUAAAGUUAAAAUGAAAAUGGUGAAAAAGAUGAAUCUAAGGUUCAUGCCAUCACUUUUAACUUGUGCUAUUUAAUAAGAUUCAAAUAUUAGCAUUUGCAACUCGUAUCCUAUACUGAGAAUGAUGCCUCCUAUAAAUUCAACCCCCCCUUCCACCAAAAAAUUAAAAAAAGAUGAAAAAGAAAAAAAAAUGGGUGAAAGAGAUUAACAAAACAUACCUACAAAUCUCACUUAGUUCUUUCCUAUGCAAAAAUUGUAACAUGUUGAAAUCGAUCUUAGCAAACUCCAACAAAGCCUUAUUAUGGGACUCAAUAUCUUGGUAUACUGAAAGAUAGUGCCUUGCCUCAACCCUUGGCAAGCCUCUUCGAAUUGAUUGUUUCAAAGCAUGAGAAACCUCUUCGGACAAAGGAUGGUCCAAAGAUGCUACUGCAAGGCUUAAAUGGUUGGUGGUGAAAGAAAUUGCUUCAUCCAAUAUAUCUUCCCCAUGAACCCUCAAAUAGGAAGCUUGGUAAAGUUCCAACAAUCCUCGAACAUCGCUUGUCACGGAUGACUUGAAAUUCCCUUGCUCGUCUCUAAACUUGUUGAAUACGUCUGAGAUGAAAUUACCCAAAAUGAAAUAUCGUUAUCAAACAUUCCAUGCUAUUAUAUUCUCAAGAAACUUAAAAACAGUAUGUUGUUGUUCCAAUAAUUACCGCAUGAAACAUUGUAUCCAUGCUCUCGGAGUAGUCGGAAUCUAAGAGAUGUAGUGUAGAGGUCGUUCUCGGCAUCAUUGUUGUUAUGGUAGAUAUUCUCUAGUUCAUCUUCGAUCUCCUUGGUGAAAUGGUAACUCACACCCAGUCUUUGCACUGAA
rnacentral:lncRNA from 1 species